GAAGGAGGCGCAGGUGGACCAAGCAACGCUGGAGAAGGAGCUGGUGCUCUGUGCUUCUUUGACUUCUUCUUGCUAGGUGCCGGGGCAGGAACCUCAACAGGAGGCGACGCGACUGGGGCAGGAGGAGAACUUUCGGGAGCGGGAGGAGAUUCCGUUGGAGUUGGUACUGGAGGAGAGCUCACCGGUACUGAAACUGGUGGAGAACUAACCGGAACUGGAACAGGCGGAGAGCUAGCCGGAACGGUAGCAGCUGGUGGAGAGCUAGGUGGAACGGAAGCAGCCGGAGGAGAGCUGGCAGGAACGGAAGCAGUCGGAGGAGUGCUGGCUGGUGGAGAAGCUACUGGAGCGACUGCUGGUGGCGCCGAUGCAGGCGGCGUGGAGACCGGUGCUGGAGUUGCCGGCUUUUGAGGAGCGGCGGCGGGAGAUGGAUUUGUCGGUGUAGAUACGGGAGAUGCAGCUGGAGGGGGAUACGUCGCUGCUACUGGGGGAGUAGCGGCGGGAGUAGUAGUGGGAGCAGCAGCCGGGGACUGGCCACCGACACCAGCGACGACGGCGCAGAUGAGAACGAGUGCGAUCACGGAUUGUCUACCCAUUUCAACCGAGUGAGUGUGUGUAGUAGAUGAAGAAGUGAAUGUUUCGGAGCCCGAGGCGUCAUAGUGUAUAUAUAGACCAGUAAAUAACGCCUCGAAGGAGUUAUUUUAUUUUAAUAAAAAUAAUGAAAAUGGGCCCACUAUUAAUGGGCCUGUACUAGCCGUUGGGAGAGAGAAAAGGGCCCACGAACGGAAUCGUAGAAAAGAACGGUAUAAUAUUGGAGAUUUAAACAGACUGGCCAAACAAAGCCCAUUGAUUUUUUUUUCUCUUGUCUACAUCUCUCAGGCUGAAAAUCUGAUUAAUCAAACAAGUAGUUGAAUUUAUGUGUAAAUGAAUGCGUUAAAUUAAGGUAAUUGGAAAGAAGGUGGUGUGGAAAGAGGAAAAGAGAGAGGUAAAUGGGGGGAUUAAUGACGCGGUUUAGGAUCCAAUAAUUUGGAGUGAAUUUUGGUGGAUACAGCUGGAUGAUUGAGAGUGGGGCCCACGCCAAUUUCGACAAUCCAAUAACAGUUGUCCACGUGAACUGUCGAGGCAAUUAUUGCGGGGAAAUUUACCAACAAGACUUAGCAGUCCGUUUGGAUUUCUUUUGUCCCACUACCACCGCCUUUGAAAGUCGUGCCUAAACAAUUAUAAACCCCACAUAUAUAUUUCCUUCCAAAAUUCAAUCUAAAAUCACGCUCCACCCAACAUCAACUCGCCUAUAUGUACAUCAGAACCACCUCUUGGCUUCCUAUUUCCACCCUUAAGUUCUUUUACUAUAUUUAUGCUACCUACAAUUUUUAUCUGCAAACAAAUUUUCUUCACUGCCUCAAAUUCCAUAUAUUAUGUGAUUCAUAGACGUGUUUUUUUCUCCUCUUCCAAUUUUUUUAUUUAUUGUAAAAAUAUUUAUCUACACAAAUUUCUAUUUAUACUAUUUAUACAUGUGUUCUACUUGUUUUAUUUUUUAGUUUAUUUUAAAUUUGUUGUGGGUGUUAAUACCAAUUUAUAGGUUUUAUUUUAUUUUUAUGUUUAUUUCACUCGCGUUAGUUCUUUUUAUUUGCUUCAAGAAUGUAAAUUGAACAUAAGUAGAUAUAACAACUUUGAGUUUUAGCAAAAAAAAUAAUAAUAAUAAAGAGAAAAAAACAAAAUUAGUUUUUAAUUCUAGCUUAUUUAAUUAUUUUCUUUGUUGGCAUACAAAAUAUAUAAAAUAAAUUAGCAAAUAUUUCUUUUAAUUAUGAAUUUAAUUAAUAAUCAUCAAAAUAUAUAAAUCACAAUCACCAUUACAUAUAAAAUUUAACAAAAUUGUAACCUAAGAGUAAGAGGUCAAAGUAAGUUCUUUUAUUAGAAGUUGGAGACUAAAACACAAAAAUAGACUAAGUUACCAAAUUUAGAUACCAAAAUAGAAUUUAAAGUAAAGAAGUAUAUGUAUUUUUAUUAUUUGGUGGGUGACAAGAAGAUUUUUUCUUUCCUAAUAUUUUUUUAUUUUGAAAUUGAUAUAUGAUAUUUAAAAAAAGUGUGGAGUAUAAUAAAGGAUUUGGGAAGAUAAACGUUGAACCUUUGACGCAUCUCAUUUCUUUUGUAAUUGUACACUAUCUAUGAAAUGAUUAUGAUGUAUGGUGGCAUAAUAAGAGAAAUCAGUUCUUUUUUCUUCAAAAAAAGAAAUAUAUGAAUAAAAGGAAAAAGAAAAAGAAAAAACCUACCAAAAGCAUGUAUCAACUUAGCAAGCAAGUUCACCUAGUGUGGCCAAAUUUUUUUUGAAGAUCUGUCUUAUUCCACGAUAUUAAUGAACAAAUUCAUUAUGUGAUAUAUACAAAAGUUUUAAGUAUAAAUUUUCUUUCACGAUGGUUUCAACAUUGGACCCCACCAACAUAGAUCGAUAAGUUAAUCGUUAUAUCAUUUUUAACUCAACUAACAAAGUUUAUUUUUGCUACUUUCACUUUCAGUUUCGAUCUUAUCCUGUUUGUGACACAAUCAUUUUUCCAAAUUAACUUUUAAUAAUCGUGGUCUAAACUGACCUCGUUUCUAUCUAUAAUACAAGUUGCAUCGACACUAAAAUUUCAAACAACUUUGCCACAAAGGAGACCGUAUAUUUAAAACUUCAUUUGUGCUUACACUUGUAGAUUUUGAUAACAUUGUUGAAUGAUCAAAUCUUAUAUAUAUAUGUGUGUGUAACAUCCAAUCUUUCCAAUUAACUUAAGUAACAAAACAAUUUGUUUAAAUAACUAUGAUCCUUCCAAAUUGCCCAUCAUGUCAUAGAAAACUAAUAGAAUUUGGAUUCUCCCAAAUCUUCCAAAACCAUAGCAGUACAUCUAAGAUCAGCUACUCCAACAUAAUCGGCUGGUUCAAUGUUUGAAUGAAGUGACCAAAUAUUUGAAGCUCCUUAAGAAAAGUUAAAUAUUAUUGUUUUAUCUAUGACUUAUGCACUAAUAAUAACAUUGAGAACUAUUUUGAUAUUACUUUACUAUUUGUGGGAAAUGAUUUUGUUAUGUGUUUUUCAUUAUAACAUCUUAAUUUUACGAGAAAUUCUAAAUUUCAUAGUAUUCUCCAACUGUUUGAAGGAUAAAAUAAGAGAAAAAAGUUUGAUAAUGAUUGAAUUGAUAAAGGUUCUAAUUAACGUUUUAAGUUAACAGUAGUGUACAUACAUAGAUAACAAUUGAAUCAUAAAUCUUGUUAGAUUAAAUAAAUUCAUGAAUCAAUUAUAAACACUUCAAAAUAUAAAUACAUUUUAAAAAGUGGUUAUAAAAAAUGUCUAAUCCUCAUUUGGUAUUUUAUAAUCUAAAUAGAUAUCAAUCUUAAUUUACUUCAUCCAUCAAAAUCUAAUUUUACAAAAAGAAAAAAGUGGUUCUACAUACAUUUAAUUCAAGACUUUGUUAUUUCAUAAAACAAACAAACCUACAGAAUAAAAUAUUGAAAAUGUCAACUAAAAAAUGGUCACAACAAUCAAUAUAGAUUACAACGUGUUUCAUAUUAUAUAUAUUUAUAAUUUAUGUUUAAAAUUGACAAGUAGCUAUAAAUUAAAUUAUAAAUAUAAUUUAUUUUUACAAAAUUAGUUAAAUUGUAAUUUUAAUCAAUAUUUAAUGAAAAUUAGAGUUUACAUAUAGUUGGAUAAAAUCUAAUAAAUAUUCUUUAUGGUUUGACAAUCUUUAUAAUAGUCCAUACAAGCCAGAUUAUUUGAUGAAGUUUUAUCAAACCAAAUGGAUUUAAGUUAUAGUUAUAAAGCAUAGAGACUAAAUGCUAUCAAUUUAAAAUCAUAUAAACUAAAUCUGUAAUUUAUCCUACAAAAUCUAUAUAGUUGUUAUUUUUUAUUAUUAUAUAAUUUAUAAUACGUUACAUAAUAUAUGUUAUAUUUAAAAAAAAUGUAAAAAAUGAAUUGAGUUUAUAAAUAUAUUGUAGUUUUAGAUGUUUUUGCAUAAAUUUUAUUUAAUUAUACUCUUCUUAGAAUGUAAAAUUCAAAUUCUUCGUACAAUAAAAAAAAUUUGAUUUCAUGAAUUUGAACCAUUUAAAUCACACUAUUUGAAAACAAUUUUCAAAAACAGAAUAUGGAUUGUAUGUCAAACGAAAAUUCAUUAAACUCAGUGAAUCUAAAAAUAUAAACUAAAAUUCGAAUUCUCUAUCAAACAUGCCCUUAAAAAUCUAGUUCAUGUAGUUACUAAGGUAUGUACUAUUUAAAAUUAUCAUUUUCUUCAUCCAUAACAAAAUUAUAUUUUAUCAAACGUAAAAGAUUAAAUUUUAAUUUUUAGUAUUGUAGGACUAAAUUCUAACUUUGCAACUUUAUAAUUUAAACUAAAAAUUACUUUUUUAUACCCUUAUUUAUUUCUUAACCAUAAUUAAAGAGAAAUAGUUAAAUUACAUAAUUUGAAAUGGGACCUAAAAUUUGUGAUGGUUGCUCUUAAAAGAUACCAAACUGAAACUGAAAUUUUAAAGAUGCUUACCAAACCAAACCACUAAAAAACAUAAUUUCAUCCACAUUGAUAUCAUAAAAGCCUCACUUCUUGGUUUGGUGAAUGUUCUUUCACUGCCUAUACUGCUUUUUUGGACCCUUUUUCAAGCCUCCCUCUCUCUCUCUUUUAAUAUCUUUUCUUCCUUUACACUUUUGUAAUAACUAAAUAUUAAUGUAUUAAUAACUGAAUCCUUGUCCAAUUCAUCUUCUUUGCUUGUUCAAGAGAAAGAGAGGAAGAUAAAGCUGUCAUUUUAUUACAAGUAAAACUAUUAUAUUAUUCUAAAAGCUACAUAAUGUGUCUUUGGGUUUUUCUUUUGCAUCAAGUGAUUCUUUUUUUUUCCAUCAUUUUUCUUUCAUUUUCGCAUCUUUUGAUGUUGCUUUUGACACUAGUUUUUAUUUUAUAUUUUGUCAAUUCCUAUAUAGUCCUGUUAUUUCAUAAUAAACACCUAACAAAAAGCACUCAAUAAUUGUCAAUAAUUAUUACAACAUACUUAUAAUAUAUAUAUUUUCGUAAUUGUAUAGUAAAAUUAAUAAUUGUUUAGGAAAUUAUUGAAUCAUACUAUUGAAGGUGGGGAGCUAAUAAUACUACAAGCUAAUUAAAAUAUAUUUGGUUCUACUUUUUUGUGUUCGUGUGAUUCUUAACUUAAUAAAGAUGAUUGGGUGAAUAAUUUUGUACGAUUUACUUGUGAAAUCAAAUGUUUAAUUCUUAUUCUAAUUGACAUGACAAUAUUUUUCAAUAUUUAUUGGAUGGAGAUUUCAAUAAUUAUUUUAUCAAUUUUAAGAAGUUUUUGCUGUUCACUUCAAUUUUGUGUUAUUUAAAAUUUACAUUAAAUGGUAAAAAAACAAUACUUGUUUAAUUUUAAACUAAUCCCACGUUUUUAACCUAUUUUUACCUUUUUCUAUCCAUCUUUAUUUAUGAGAAAUUUAAUAGCAAAGAGUUGUGCAUUCAUGGAAAGAUCUCUAAUAAAAACAUCACUCGAAUAUCAUUAUGUUGAUUUGACAUGGUUUAAUGAACUACAAAUUUAUAUAUGUAGUUCAAUCUUUUACUUCUAUAUUCUACUUAAUUGUUUGAGCUCAAAAAUAAUUAUUGUUAUUAUAUUUUUGUAUAUUGUAUUCAAUUAAUUAAUUUUUUUUAUUUACUCUAUUAUUGUCGAUGACCAACGGAACGCCAAGACUUGGAGCUUUUUCUAAACUCAUACUAAAUAUACUAUUCGAAAUGUUUUUUAUGGAUUUAUUUUAGAAAUUGACAUUUUCUAACAAAAAUAUAAAAUUAGAGCUUGUUAAAAUAUUUUUUAUUUUUUAUUAUUUAUUUUUAAAAUUAAACAUCGUCGUAUAACUAUAUAUAUAAACUAUUUCAUCAGUAUUGAUAGGGACACUAAUUAAAAACAUAUACUUGCAAAAUAAACUGUAACAACCUUUUAAAACAAAUCAAAUUUCAAUGAGACCAUUUUUUAGUUUUUAAACUUGGAAAUCAGUGAAAACUGUUUCCUGUAUCUCUGCUACCAAUUUUAAAUACCGUUUGGUUAUCAUGAUAUUGAAAUUGUGACUUUAGGAUCAAAGUAGCAUUAUAAAGUUUGUGUCUUUUAAUAGUAUAACGGAAUUUCACAUAGAUGUUAGAAAGAGUAACUCAUAGUUACAUUGUCAAUAUGCAAGGCACGUACGUCACGCAACAACGUUUUUUAAUAAAUAUGAUAUUUAACUUGGUUAAGAAACUUGAUAAAUAAGUUGGAGUUCAAAUAGAGGAUCCAGUAAAAAAAAUUCUAACAAAUCAGCCACUGCCUUAACAAAAAAAUUGUAUUUCAUAGGAGAAACAAGUAUAUCAAUUAUGACAAUUGGGAUUGCAUGCAACAAAAAUAAAACUCAAACAUAGGGCAAACAUUUUCACAAAACAUCUUUUAAGUUGGAGAGUUUCAUCCAAAUGUAAGGUUUAGUUGUCUUUGUUUCAACUCCGUGGAAGAAGUUGCAAACAGAACUCCUCCGUAAAGUUACGAACUCUCAUCUUCUUUAGAUCAGAACAUCUUUAAAUGUUUCUAGUCAGCUUCAUAUUUAAUUUGGAGCAUCAAGAACAACUAAGAACUAAAUUACAGUCUUAGUAAUAUGUGUGAAAUUAGUUGGAGAAGAGUUCCAAUAAUGAAAACUGCCCACGUUCGUUACAACAACAUAAUGGGCUUUAAUUGAAUUUGGGCCUUAACUGGGCUGGAUCAGUUGAUCUCAUUCAAUAAUAGUCCAAAAGGGCAAUAUAAUACCCACCCUAUUUUUAAACUUACCUACGGUCGGGUGCACCACUUCCCAAAUGUGACACAUUCCUCUGCGGCCACAUGGCAAUCCAAAUUUUUAUUUUUUGUUCUUUAUUUACAUCUUCCCAUUUUUAAGGUUUCUUUCUUUACUAUAAAUGUCUACAAAUAUCAUUGAUAUUUGUAGAGAAUUAUAUAGAAAAAAGAUAAAUAAAUACCUAUACUUUUAAAACAAGUUAACAUGUAUAGUAUUUUUUUUCUUUUGAUAUAUAAAUUACAAAAUAUAAAUAUAAAUGUAAAGAUAGAAAUGUUGAUAUGGUGGUGACAUGUUAUUAGUAUACUUUACAUGAAUAUAGUUUUCUUUAAAAAGAGUAAAAGAAAAAGUAGUUUUAUGAAUAUAGUUACUUAUAGAUGCAUGCAGCCGCAUUUUCUUGAGACCCAACCCCGUUGUACUUUUUUCUCUCUUUUUGUGAUACAUAUUAGGGAUUGCUUUACCAUUCUUACCUUUUCAAUUUGUUAGAGCUUAGAUCUGAAAUUUUUACUUUUUCAUCUCCUUUCACUUUUACUUCUCCAAUCCAGAUACCAUGUAUUUGGCUCCAUUCAUGUUAUCACUUUUAAAGAUAAGGGUUAAAUGCGAUAGUUAAUUGUAGAUAUAACAAAAUUUGUUGUGUCUGUAAAUUUUUCUUUGUGUUAUUUUUGUAAAUACAUUAGACUUUAUUGUUACCUUGGCUAUAUUUUGCUAUUUUAUAGUACUUAUUUGAUUUUAGUUUGUCACUAAAAUUUUAAUAAAUGUCCAAGUUAGUUACUGUGGUUAAUGUUAAAUUAAUUUUGAUCAAAAUUAUGUAAACUAAUAAUGAAUAUAUUGUAUAUAUGUUUUCAAAAUUUAUUGCAAAAAGACUAGUAGAUACGUUAAUCAAAAGUUAACUAUAUUAAUAGUAGAGGUAGCUUUAAAAUUUGGUAAAAAUAUCAUGAUUAAAUUAGAUUUUGACAUGUGAAUUUAAAGUACAGGUACUUUGGACUAAAAUUAAACAAAUCACAAGUUGCUAAUUGAUUUAACCUUUCUUUUUAAUUACCUUUAUUGACUAUAUGUUAUCAUUGCUAAUGGUUUGAUCAAGUGACUUUUAUCUUCCAAAAAGUUACAUCAAACUCAUUUUUAAUUUCAGUUCAUUGGUUAUUGCAACGUAGAAAAUGGGAUUCAUCAUCACAAAAAAUCUCAUUUCUUCCCCGAUCUUCUCGUGUUCUUAAUUAAUUAUCUCCUACUUUUUAAAAUGCCUAUAGUUUAUAAAACCAUACACAAAAACCAAGUUGCAAUAUAUAUAUAUAUAUGUGUGUGUGUUUUUGUUGAUCUCAUGAUUGCAUGGAUUCUCUCCCAGAGUUUCUGCAUAUUUGCAUGGUUGGGUACAUGGAACCAAUGUAAAACCACGUUUUAGAUUUUGUGCAAUAGGUAUUGCUACUGCUAAGCAUGUGGAAAAGGAGGCUAUUAGAAUUAGAUUACCCAAAAUUUGUUUCAAGUUUGAACUCAAUGAAAAAGUUUAUAGUACAGCUUUUAAACAAUCUAAGCUUUUUAUUAAAUAUGUACACACCACAUAACAUAUAUAUAAAAGAAAUAAUAAAGUAAUGAAUGAAUGAAUGUGGGUGGUAUGGUAGUAUAUCUUUUCUAUACAUAAAAAAAAAAAAAAGGAAAAUAUUUCAUUGAACAGAACAAAAGUUUAUGUACAAUCAACACUCCCAUAAAUUUAAGAAGAGAAGCAAAGGGAGAAAAGAAAGAACCAAAAGAAAUGAGCUUCUUCAAGAAAUGAAGAAUGCACCCAUAAAAAAAAAAAAAAAGAUGAAAAGACGUGUUGUCUUAGCAAGGGAAAGAACACCACACAACAAUUAUAACUACUAUUUUAAAUUCUAUAUAAUUAUACCAAAUUCAUAACUUAUUUGUUUUUUCAAAAAUAAAAAAUAUUAAAAUUAACAAAAUUCAUAAGUGUAUAAAUUAUAAACAAGAGAAAAAAUAAAUAAAUAGUAUUUAAACUUAAAUAAAUUAAUUAUAAACAAGGAUGGAUUAUCAUAACCCUUUUCCAACCCUUUCCUCCUAACCCUUUCCCUCCCUCCAAACACCACCACUCUAUGAUAUCACACUUAAGCCAAGAGCUAAAGGAGCUUGUCAAAAUGUUCAAACUUUAUUUAGGUACUUAAUUAAUAGACAUUUUGGGAGAGCUAAGAUUAUCACUAAGAAAAUAUAAUUUUUUUAGAAUCACAACUUUCUUAAUAUAAUUCAUAUAUUAAUGGAGUCUUUUCAUCAUCACUACUUAAAUUGUUCUUCCAAGAAGCUUAAUUUGAACAUUAUGAACAAUCAUAGGUCAAAUCUAUAUCUAAAAUUAAAUUGCUCUUUAAAUCCUGGUAGGUAUCUGAUAACAAACAUGCACUAAUAUGCACUAAGGUGAAUAAGGUGAAUAAGGAAGGGGCUAGUUUGGGUGGGUUUUAAAUAAUAUGAUAGAAUAGAUAAAAGGUAAAUAUUUUUGUAAUUUACAUUUUCUUAUAUUUUGUUUUAAAUUCGAAUUAAUGCAAUGGCCACUCAACUGAAGUUAAUUUUUGUAGUUUAGUGGGCUAAGGAAAUUGACACAAUCCAAAUGUGUAUGUCAACCAUUGAAAUAAAAUAAUGUAAGACGAAAUUGAAUGAACAGUAAAUUUAAACCAAACUCAAAAACUCAAAAUAUUGAUUGAAAUUAUUGUUCUUAAUAAGACGAAGCAAAAUGUUAAGUAGGGGAAUUUGGGGGUUCACAAAAAGGAAGAAUGUUCCAACUUUUUCGAAUAUUAUUAAACCUUAUUUCUCAAUUCUCUCUAUUUCUCUCUUUAAAACCAUCCCAUUUUUAGUUUCUUUUUCAAACCAAAGCUUCUUCAAUCCUUCGUCUCUUCCGCCAUGAAAGCCCUUCGCCACAAGAAAAUGGCGGAAAAGCAUAAGAAAUAUCAUCACACCAAAGCGCUUAAUUGCGCCCUUCCUUUCUGUUUCUUUUGCACCAUGAACGAACCUGACCCAUUUCUCAGAACCUUCAAAAUCACUGAAUGUUUCAAGGAAAUACCACUGAGAGAUGAUCCAGAGUCUGUUCUUGCACUGAGUGGACUAUGGAACAUCGCCAUGACUCGACCCGAUAACCCGGAAUUUCCAGAGCUUGGGAUAUUUGAGUGUAUGGCAAAGCUUAUUAGCAGAGGAAUUAGUGAUAGGAAAUGGCUGUUUAGAGAUCAGAACGUUUAUAUUCCUUAUUAUGCUGCUCAUAUUAUUGGGUCUUACGCCAUGAACAGAGCUGAAUUUGCAGAAAUUGCUGUUGAAUCUGGAGUGAUUCCGCCAUUGAUGGAGCUUUUGAGAGGAAAAAUCAGCUGGGUCGAGCAGAGAGUGGCCAUUCGAGCUCUUGGUCAUUUGGCAAGCCAUGAAAGAACGUUCGAAUCAGUUGCUCAAAUUGGAGGGGAAACAGUGGAAUUAGCAAUGGAAAUUGCUUCAAAUUUUGUCGAAAAUGUUUAUACUCAAUUCUUCUGUCUCAAAAAGAGAUUAAAGUAUCAACGAAAUUUGCUCACGAGAGGUCUUGGAGGGGUCGAAAUAGAGAAUAGAAAAGCAGAGGAAUGGGCAAUUCAAACGCAGUGUUGGUCUCUUUAUCUCAUCAAUAGUUUCGCUCGCAAAGAGAAGCAUCUAAAUUUUAUCUGUAAAACGAAUUUCUUGAAGAAUUUGUGCGGAAUUUGGGGUGGACUGAUAAACCCAGAAGCCCCUGGUGGAAUUGGGCUUUUGAGAACUCUCUGUAAAACAGAGACUGGAAGAAAAGCUGUGGCGGAUGUGGAAGAAGUCCUGAAAUCCCUAUGCGUUCUUGCAAGAACCUCAGAUGAAUGGCAGAUCAUGGCAAUUGAAUGUCUUUUGAAUCUGAUCAAAGACCCAGAAACAAGAUAUAGAGUUCUCGAAACCUCUGUUUUUUCUCUUGUUGAUUUGGUAGAGCUUGAAACUGGAAUUGAUAGAAAGAAACAAAAAUUGGGAGACAUUUUAACACGAGCAUUGUUGCAAGAUUAUCACAAAAUCAAAUACGGAAAUCAAAAGCUUUACAGUGAAAGAGCAACGAGAGCAUUAGGGGAACUUUGGGAUUUGAAAGUUGAGAAGAAGAGAAAAGAGAAAUUAAUGUCAGAGAAAGAGAUGAAAAAGAGGAAACUCUUAGUGGGUAUUCUCAAAAAACAGGGGAAUCACAAAUUUAGAAUUGGAGAAAUUGAAAAGGCUGCGAUGAAAUACACAGAAGCUUUGAAUAUAAGCUUACCGAAAAUGAGAAAACAGAGGCUAGUACUCCAUAGCAACAGAGCUCAAUGUUUUCUUUUGGUGAGGGACCCAGAAGCCGCCAUUAGCGACACGACUCGAGCUCUGUGUUUGUCGAAACAGGGGAGUCCUCACAUGAGAAGCCUAUGGAGAAGAUCGCAGGCUUACGAUAUGAUGAGAUUGAGCAAAGAAAGCUUAAUGGAUUGUUUGGUUUUUGUUAGCUGCAGAAUUAAGUUGAAGCACAAGAUUCCGUUUUAUGCGGCUCGAAUGAUCAACAAGCAGAUGAAUGCGACGUGGGUAUUUGGUUCUGUGAAAUUAAGAACCUUGAAUAGUGAUGAAGAUCUUGUUCGAGAAUCGGUAAUGGGGGAAUGUGGAGAUGGGAGGAUGUUGAUGAUGAAGAUGAAGCAGAGAAAGAAUGGUUAGAUGAGCAUUGAGUUUAAUCAAUGUGAAGGAUGUAAGGAGGUGGUAGUGGUAGUGGUAGUGGUACAUAUUAAUUAAUGGAGGGAAAAAUUGAAGGGAGGAUGUGAUGAUCUUUGUGAUGCUUUGAAAUCCAUGUAAUUAAUCUCAUUUAGAGUACCUUUGAUUCAAUAUUUCUGUUGGUUUUCACAUAUUUGAUGUUAGUUUAAAUGGCAUGAAUUUGUAUUAUCAAAAAUUGUUGGAAGUUGGAUUUUCUCUACAAAAUAUAUAUACAUAUAUAUAUUGAGUACUAGAUCUCUUGCCAAUCCCAUGCCCAAUUGAAUUCUGUGAAGGUAGAUAAAUAGACAUGUAAUUGAAGUUUUUAGUAUUUUCAACGUGCAUUUUCAUAAUUGAUCUAAGGUAAAAUGUUCAAAAUGGUAAUAUGUUUAUGAAUAAUAAAAGUCAUCUUUUUUCUUCUCUUUUUCGAGUUCAAUCAAGAUAGAAUGAAUUCAAACCUCCAACAUAACUGAAAAGAGUAAGUAUCAAGUAUAGAUAAAUUAUCGUCACUUUAACAAUGAAGAAAAAACGAGUUAUGCAUACGAAACAAAUAUCUCGUUGAAUUCAUAAUAAUUAUUAUACAAUAUAUUAUGUUAUCCAUGUUUUGAUUUUAAUAAAAGUGAAAUGAGUCUUUAACAGGAGGCUUUUUUUAAAAAAAAAAAAGUUAAUUAUCCCUCAUAAAAUGUAAAGAUAGAUAGAAUGAUAAAAUAAAGAAGCUAUUUUGAUUAUAGAAUCUAGAACUCAAUUUCACCACAGACAAAAUUUUAUUUGAGUCAUAAGGUACAGAAUUUUGUUUUUUCAUUUUCCUCUAGCCACUCUUGAUAACCAAUUGAGUUGUGUGAAUAGGUUUGAAAAAAAAAUUAAUCUAUCGUUAGUCGUUAGGGAUUGUAACAUUAAAAAAUGUAUAAAAUCAAUUGACCAACUGCACCUAUAUUUUCAAUAAUUUCAUAGCGAUUCUCCAUAUAUAUAUAUAUGUAUAUAUUAAUUUUGAAAUUCUUUUAGUGAUAUUGAAAUUGGAACAAUUGGGGGGUUACACUUGUGAUAUGUUGUAAAAUGCAUAAGUUGGUUAAAGAUGCAAUAAUCUUAUUUUAUUUGCAAAUUGGAGAGACCCUGAAUGAAGACGAAACUAACCAAAAUCUUUAGUCACCAUAAUCAAAUUUCAAAUCCUACCUAACUCAUCAAAAACACAAGCUAUUUAGGUCAUAUCCAACAAAACCAAUAUUAAAUUACCAUAAUUAAUCUAAUCAGUGAAUUACAGCAUCGUCAAAUAUGGACUCGAGGGGCUAUAGACUUUUUAGCCAACUCCAAUAAUAGAAAUUAUAAUAUUGACAUAAGUGGUUAGUUGCCCCUUUUUUUGGUUUAUAUGUUGAACAAGGAGAAAAGAACAGAGUAUGAGCAAUAUCUCAUUUGCAAAUCUGAAGGUCUUGUCCAUUGUGUUUGAACAUUAAAAAAAAAUCGAUGGCCCCUCUCUUAGUCUUGCCUCAUUCUUUUACAAACCUCUCUAUGCAAAGCUCAUCCACCCAUCAUCUACGUAUUUUCUCAUCAAUUUAUUGCAUCAAAGAUAAUUUAUGAUAUAGAGAGAUCAUUGAUAUGACACUGCCUCGCAAUUUCAAAGAUGUUCUCUCUUUUUCAAUAGCAUUUAAGAUCCAUUUGAUGUUAGGAAUUUGCGUAUUGAAAAACAGAAAAGUCAAACGAAAUCCAUAGUAUGAUAUACAUACAGACAUGAACUCAGAUCAAAACCUGUUGUAAUAUUCCACUUGAAAUUGAAUUGAAGGGUGCUCUUUAAGAAACGAGUUCGAUCACACAAGGAAAUAUGUCUUCUUAAUUUAACGAAAGGGUUGGUUAAAAAGUCUUAUAACCCCAAUAAAAUCUUAAUUACAUAUUUCCCAAAACCAAGAUUUCAACAAUUUUGUGAAAUAUUGAAGAAAAAAAAAACUCGACGAGAUUACUAGAACGAUGAAGAUCUAAACAGGAUCUAUACAUGAAUAAAGAUACAGCUGCAAAUUUUAUUAUCAAGAGUUAACUGUACUGUAAGUAAAUAUAAUGAAUUUUUACACUGGAAAUGAAGGGAAACUCAGAAAGGGGCAGAAGAGAGAAGAGAGAAGAGAGAGAGAGAGAGAGAGAGAGAGAGAGAGAGAGAGAGAGAGAGAGAGAGAGAGAGAGAGAGAGUCUAGAAUGUUAUACUCCUGUAGGGGUUAACGACCAAAUUUGUGUGUAUGCUUUCAGUUUCUAGCUACAGAUGUUGAGCCAUGUGUCCACUUGAUUGACAAAGAACACACGGUUGAUUUCAAGAAACGAGUCUGAAUAACAAAAUCACAUCAGCGUUCCUCCUGCACUAGAGUCGAAUUUAGUCAGGAAUCUUACAAUUUGGAGUACUCGUUGGAAGAAGGUUGCAAUUCUUCUUAGUUGAAACAUUUAAAACAAACAUUAUCAUAAGACAUGCUUACAGAUACCGUCAGCAGAAGACAAACAAAAGGGGCUGAUAUAAGAACGUGUAUUGGAAAAAAUUAGUGCAAACUGUCACGCAAGUUAUUAGUUAAAUUAGUUUUCUCUUCGAUUUACGUUCUGUAGCUUUUAUUUAAGGCAGUGCCUCCUAAAUUGGAGGAUAGUGGCAUGAUGGUUUAGUGGAUUGAUUAGGAAGAUUUUCUAGGUUAGUGGUAAAAAUGUAAGGAUAAUGCAUUAGGGGGUAGUUUCUUAUACAAAAACUUGUUUUCAAGUCAAUGAAUGUAAAAUUGAAACGCAUGAUCCUCGCUUUUUUUUUUCCUCUUGUUUCCAGCUUUUGUUCUAUUGGUUAUAGUUUUUACUAUAGUUUCACCUCAAGAAAACAAGGAAGGGAUGGAAGAAAAAAAACAACAGAGGAGAACUUAAGGGAUGGGUGGAUUCCUAACUAAAUUGGGGUACCACUGUUGUACUUGCUGUACAUGUUGACACAGUGUGAACUACCAUAAAGUCCAAUGCAAGUAAAUCUUUAACAUGCAACAAACUGCCAUUGGAAAAUAAAAAGGACCGCUACCAGUAUUUUACAUUUUUUUUAAGCUAAAAAAAUGAGCAUUUUCAAUUUUCAUGAAAGAAAAAAAAAACGGACUACUUACCAUAAGACAACCUUUGAGGAGCUCAAUCAUCAUAUGAACUCAAAGCAGCAACAACCGACCCUGUUGUUUUAAGAGUUGAUGCCACAUCCGGAUAUUCUUUCCACGAUGUUGUCAUCUUUAGAGAUGGAUAUAACCAACUCUUCACAGAAUCAACAAAAGAAUUUGGAUCGAAGUUCAACAUAGCUUCCCAAUCCACUUGCAGUCCUCGAGGAAUGUUCCCACAGAACUCCAUGUUUGCUGCAAGAAGCAAUCCAAGCAAAACAACAAAUCCAACAGCCGCAGAACCCCUUGAUAGUGGCAUAAAAUUGUACCUAAAAUGCAGUUGAGUUUUUAAAACCCUGCGAAAUUGACAAUCGAAAUAGUAACACAACAGUAGAAAUACUCUACCAGUAAUAGAUCAUCCUUAGAAUUGAAUCCCUCACAGUUUCCAGAGUACUAAAAUCCAUAGAUCCAUAGUUUUCUCCGCAAUAAGCAUUGCAUAUGCUCUGAAAAAUCAAGUGGUGAGAAUAGUACACUUGAAUAAAUAAUAUUAUAUAAAUAUUGGCUUUCGCCAUGCAGUGUUUAUACUAGUCUAGCUAGUUCGAAAUCAGAGUUAAGAAAUUGGGAGCCCGGAUUACAUCACUGAAUCAAUCCAAUGCUCUGAUAUGUAAAGUAUUCCCUCCCAAAUCACAAUGUUUUACUCGAGAUUAUGUGGUUAAAUGUCAUGUCAGACUAGGAAGGUGGAACCAUGUUGGUCACCAAUACGUGUUCAUGUGCUUAUCCCAUUGAAGUCAUUGCAUGUAGGAACACAAAUAUUCUGAUUAUCUACUUGAAAAGUUUUUUUUUCAAAAAAAAAAACAUACUCUCUUCUCAUACACCGAUCACUUACAUACUGCAUGAACAUGUCAGAGAAGUGGGGCCCUAAUUGUUAGUUAGCAUAUGAGCCUUACUAGUAACUAAUGUAAUGGCGUAGGCAGAUGGCAAACAUCGUGAAGAGUAAAAUAGUAUCAGCUUAAUGGGGUUGACAAGAGAGGAUAUGUAGUUGGUCAGCACCGUCUUGUAUUUUGGAAAAGGUAAGGAAGCUCUCAAGUUAUCCUUCGCUUAUAUCCAUUGUAUCCAAUGUUAAGAUUAGAUAACAUGAAAUUUCACCUCAAAAUCAAUUGAAAAUAAGAGUGACCCAUUCAUGUUAUAAAGAGUGUGAGAUCCCUUGAUUUUUCCAAGGUGGAUUCCUUAAUAUCUCCAUCUCAAGAUAAUGGCUUUUUUGGUUUCAUCAUUCUUUAAUUAGAUCCCAAUAAAUAUAUUGGACCGAGUACCCGUUUGAACUUUAUAUACUCUGAUGCGAUAUUAGAUAACAUGAGUUUUCAUCUCAAAAUCAAUUACUAAUGUGAGGAGUAUCUUAUCUAUCUUAUAAAAAUGGUAAGGUCCCUUGAUUUUUCUAGCAUGGGAUCCUCAACUGUUCAUAAAUAGUAUUAUCUAGCUAUAUCAUUCUCUUAUGAUUUUGCCAAUGUGUGGGGACUGACAGGUUAAAACCAUGACAUGAGACCUUGGAAGGUAGAAUUUGGAUGAUGUUCUCAACAAAAGGGUAUCCUAAUGGUUGAAGAUCUUAAAAAUUCAGAAAGGUAUACCAAGCGCUGAAAACCGAACUUGCAUAUAGGGAAAAAUAUUUUCUACCCUCUUUCUCCACAAAUGUAAUAAAUGUAAGAGGUUACAUCCAUAUUUCUAGAGUGGCAUAUUCCGUGAAUAUCCUAAGCUAUGUUUGCACAGUUACAUUAAAGAAAAAAAAAGAAAAAAAAAAGAGAGGAAAUGUCUAUGCUCUAAAACGCUACAUGCUAGGAAGGGUAAACAGAUGUUAGUGGCAGUCUGUUAGAAGAGUAAAAAUAUAUUUGUUGGACGGACUGUAGGCAAUCUUUUGUUGGCUGCAUUGUGGAACAGGUAAAUGAAAUUCUUUUCUCAUAUAUUUUUAUAGGAUCAUCGGAUUCUAAAAACGCAGCAUAGCAUAGGAAGAAGGUGGCUUAAAAGGAAAUGGAUAGCAAGGGGAUGGAAUGGAGAAGGAAUUGGUAAGUGUAUGGAGCAUCCAACUCACAAUAUGGCCUUUUCUUUUAUUUUUUAAAUAUCUGUGAAAAUUUGGGUCACCUUGACUAAUGUCACAAGAUAACCCAUUUAGCUCUACAAAAUGUGGCUUGUCUAUUCGUUGCUCUCGAUGAUAUGCAUAAAACCAAGGCUAUAAUAAUUAGUUACAAAACUUGGUUGAAGGGAAAAUGAUUUGAUACUAAAUGAUAUACAAAGCCCUCAGAUAUUGGUUCAGCAAGGAAACACGGUAGAAAAACCAAACUAGAGGAACAGAAUGCUAUUAGUGUUCCUAGGGGAUUAUGGGUAAUAGAGAGGCUAGAAUAUCAGCAAGGCAGCACCAACUUGAAAGGUGGUUAGGUAAAGAGAUAGACAUGGCAGCGUCGAUGCAAUCCAAUUGCCUUAAAGAAGCUUCUAGUAUGUUUGGCAAUUGAUAUAAAGAGGCCAACCCAAAAGAUAUUCACUCACACGUCUCCCACAAACUAAAAUUACCAAGAAUUAUGCCCACUCUCCAAUAUUUUUAAGUUCAGAAUCUCUCUGCAGUUGUUCAAGUUCAUAUCUUCAGGCAAAUAUCAAUGGCAACAGGAUCAAACAAAAGAUCUACAAGUAACAUACUUCCCAUGCCAUCGCCAUCUCAGCAUCAAAUUCUUCCCAUCUGGAAGGUGUACAUGGAGUUCUAAUUGCAAAAUCAAAUCCACGCUCUCCCCUAAAAUGAAAAUAUUGGAGAGGGAAAUGGUUAGAAUAAAAUAACAUACAUUAUAAAAAUUGCAAAUAAAGCAAUAAAGAUGUGACUAAUUUACGUCUUGACUAGUGUAAUCCUUGUCCCUUCUAGUUGUUUCCUGAAACAAUAAUGAAAUGACAGAAAAUAGGCGUUAGAAGACAUUCAGAGAGUUCAAGGCAAUCAUUUGCAGGAGGGAACAUUUAAAGAGUUCAAAGCAAUUAUUUGCAGGUCUAUUACCCCUCGAAAGCAGUACUGUUGCACCAGGUAGCCAACCAGAAGUCCUCACCAACCACUUUAUAAAGAUCAGAGCAUGACUUUGCUUGCAUAAUCUGCAAUAAAUGAACAUUACUAACACAUGUUAUCUUCUCCUUUUACUAGAUAACUAACAUGUGUUAUCUAAAGGGGCAAAAAAUUCAAACACAAUGGAAAUAAAGAAAGAAAAUCCAAUACAUAUUAACAUAACAAAAUUUUCUUCCUUUUGGAGCAUUCUCCAUAAAGAAUUUUGUAAUUGCAGAUUUUUUUUGCCAAUUGGAAACCUUUCUCUAACCCUCUGCUUUUUGGGUAUAUCUAAUUUCCCAUCUUUUACAUAUGCCUUUCUAGUUUCUAUCUAAUACAAUUCUUAGUUGCUUAUCAAAGAAUAAAAAAUAGAUGAUGUGAGAAUGUACUAAUGGUUAUAAAAAAAACAGGAAACAUUUUGUAAUUCUUGCACGCUAUCAAGGGGCUUGAUAAAAGGACAGUAUAUUCAUUCGACAUUUGUUCUCACGUUCCAAAACUGGCUGAAGGUUUCUAAUCCACAAAUAUCUUAUUAAAAUUCUUAAUAUUUUUGUUAAUUGUAUAUGUACGUAUAAAAUAUGAGAAACUUCCAAAAUGGUGACAGAGUUUGAUAUACCAAUCAUUUCUAAACUGCAAAUUAAUAUCUUGAGUCAUCCAGGAACACCCUUGGGAUGCACGGCCAUACAGAAGGAUACCAAGUUAUGCAAACUUCUCAACAUAUUUUGCUUGGUUACAUUCUAGACCUCGAAAGUUAUAUUUGUUACAACCCACUAACCAAGAAUACUAUGGUCUCUUCUCAUGUUCUUUUCCACGAAGAAAAUGUCCUACCUUUCAGUGACCCUAUAGUCCACUCUAAGCCACACCUACUCCCACCUCUUCGUCUGACCCCAUCUCCUUACAUAUGAAAAUAUUGCAUUUUAUAAAUGAAGAAUACAAAAAUAAUCACUGGAUUCUGCUAAACAUUCAGGAAAGGAAACUGCGAGAUAAUCAGAAAUCACGUUGAACAAUUUGGUAAUUUUUCAAAACAAAUGAAGAUAAAAAAACUCACAUUUUGUAAUUUUCCAUCUUCUCUCAGAUCCACCAUCAAGUCUGACUUGUUGUACACAAAGGGUUUGUGUUUAAUAACCGCUUUUGCAACUUCUAAUGUCCUGCCGACCCAACAAUUGUUAAUACAGUCCACCAAUACUUGCAUGAAGAACCACUAUAUUCUUUUUACCUCUCAAAAUUUGGAUAGUACCGAACCACUUUUGCUUGGCCAAGAAUCAUCGGCGUAUGGGAUCCAAAUCCAGAAUUGAACUCUUCACUAAAAUAAUGUAAUGUCCAAAAUUUAGACACUGCUAUAACAGUGAAUUGGUGUUCCAUAUUCAAAUGACAAGACAUGAAUAAAAAAAUUCUUUCAAUAAUAGGAUAUUGCUAGUUAAGUGUAAACAAAUUCAUGGGCGGCCAAAUAAAACUUCAUUUAUUGAGGAAUACCUUAGUUUGUUAAUCCAUACAACAGGAUCACAAGGUUCAGAAAUUUGUCUCCACUUGACAGCAAAAGAGAAGACAUCUUGCCAUGAAAUAAAAUUAUGACCAGAUAAUCUAUCUUCCAGAUGGCUACUUGAAGAUGGUUCUGAAAAGCCACUGGUACUACAACCUGCACCACCUCUGUUCUGGCUGGCUAUACUGGGCCUUUCUCUUCUCCGAGCUCUUUUACCAUGCUUGGUGUUACUUUUAUUGGAACAUUUCCAUUCUGCUAGCAUUGCACGCCAAGUUCUCGAAACCUUUUGAGCAACAUCAAUGACAGCUAAUCCUGCCAUGCGAUGCUGGUAAACAGAAAGAUCAGAUUCAAUAAUUCUUUGGAACAAGUGAUUCCUUUUUAAUAAUCCAGAGAAAUGACAUGCAAAAACAAGAGAAGACGUUGGAACUUGGAAGUAGCAAGAGUGGAGAAUGCAAAAUACAGAAAUAUCAAAUGAAUGCAACUAUUUUCUUGUAAUCCAAAUUUGAUUUCAAAUUUUUUUGCAUACAGUUAUUUGAUGGUUGAGAAAUCAACUCCAGCACAUCCAUGUAUAAACAACAGCCAAACAAUAUUUCGACCACUGAAGAUGAGAAUUAGCAACAUAUUUUUUACUUUUGUACCUUAAAAGUUGAUUAAUGCCAUCUUAUUUCAAAAACCAAUCAAUUUAAGUAAUGAUUGUCGCACACAUUUGGGUUACAAUAAAAUCAGAGAUAGUAGUAGCAAAAGGCACAUUAAGUCAUAUCUUUCUAAUUAUGGUGAGUGAAAGUGAUAUGAUGAUAACAUACAAAAUAUAGCUCUUCUUAUAUUCGAUGUUCAGAACUUCCAAGAAACAAUAAAAAUAAAUAGAUAGAUAGAUAGAUAGAUAAAAAAUAAUAAUAAAAUAUAUAUUAAAAAAACAGAAAAGAGAAAGAAAGAAAGAAAACUGUACAUUUUUUAAGAGAAAAUUAGCAAUCAGUACAGCAUAAAUGUUUAACGGAAUAAGUUGGAAUAUCAGACAUGCUGCAGGAGAUUUUGAUAUAAUUUUCAAAUUUAUUUUUCACACUGAAUCACCUGACGCCGGUUUGACAAGAACCCAGGGCAAUCAUACUGGAUUUUUCUCCCAGUAGUAUCGGCAGCCAAUAGAAGAGAUAUCUUCUGCUUUGUCAUGCCAUGUUCUUGCUUUCUAAGUCUACCUUUCUUUAAAGACUCACGUAUUGGAGGUUGUCUGAAAACCUUUUCACAAACAUCCUUUGGGUGCAAUCGUUUACACCAAUACUCCUAAUAUGCAAAAGUAUGAUAUGAGUGAUAUGACCGCCACAUGAGUUAAGAAAUUGUGUCAAAACUUGAAAUCACAGCACAGAUGCCUAGAAUCUGAAAAACAGCUUUGCACGUUUGAACCAUUUCCUAUUAAGAGAACUAUACUAAGUAAAAGUUACAAACUGAUAGGAGAUGCAACAAUUUACAUCACUUCAUGAAUGCAUCAUAUACUACGUCAUGAUACAGAUAUAUUAUAUAAGGAUAUACUAGAACGCUAAAAGAUAAUUAAACUGCAAAUUAAUAGGAAGAGGUACUGCAAGAAUAUAAAAUUUACUAUUAAAUAUCCAAUAGAUGAAAAUUAUUUGCUACAGUUCUGUUAUUAUUUAUUCUUAAAAUGUAUCGUUUCAAAAUCAUUGUGCACAGGAACAAGAACAAUCUUCAGUGUCUCAAGUCUGCAGAGAACUAAGUGCAAGCCAGCAGUUCAGAGAACUUUGUCAGACAACUGUUGAAGCCUCGCUCUACGCUAACAUAAAGAGAAGACCAUGAAGCAAGUUGGACGUUCAUUUUGUACAGUAAUUUGGUAAUGCAUAUUUUUGCAGGUUCCUCUUGCACUCCAUAAUGCAAAAACUAUUUCACAAUAUUUUAUCUGGUUGAUUUUAAUUAACAAACUGCAAGGGAAACCAGAAGCAAGCCAAUAAUACUUAUCUUUAACACAACCCCUCUACAAAAUUAUUACUAUAGUCACGACUAACAAUGUACUUUUGAUCGUUUGGUUUGGUUAAUUGUACCCUAUACACUGUUAAAUCUUACCAUUUCAUUUCCAUUCUUGUCCCUAUCACACCCUCGACUUUAGAGAGUUAAGGCAGGUUUGAGGACUACCUUAACAGGAUUGAGAAGUUCUUGCCAGAAAAAUUGUCGUUAAUUUUUUUUAUUAUCUUAUAAAUUAAAAAAUAAUUAAACAUCACUAAUUAUAUAUAGAAGUAUAUAUUUGUAUAGAAAUAUGGUUAUAAUAAAAAUUCUUCGUGUCUGAAUCAGGUAAUAAAUGUGUUUUUGGUCCAUAUCCCAAAUCAAAGUAGAAAAAAAUAUUGAAAUAAAACUAUCGAUCGUGACCUCAGUCCCAACUGAAACAACAAUUUUCCUCCAUGCUUAGAGGCAGCCUGCUAGGUAGGAUUACUAUUUGAGAUGAUUAGCAGGGUAAACAAGUGUGAUUCAGAUCAACAAGAACUAGACUUUGACUAGUGGUUUUUGGAAAAUUUAGAAAGCAAAAGCAUGAGAGCAAAAUAUCUUCCCCCGUUCCUCAAGUUUAUUGAUUUUGACGGAAAAACGAUCAGAUAUAACUGCAGCAGUUAUUUGUAUUGCAAUAACUACUCUUUUAUAUAAUUAUUUUUUCAAAGGAACAACAUUAAUGAAAUAAGAAAUUCCAAGGGUAUCUUCAUUUUACUACAGACAGAAAAUCUUAUAAAUUAACUGAGUAGAAAGUCCAAAAAUCGUGAACUUGAACUAAAAGCUUUACUUGGCAGCGACUAUUACACCAGCACCAAAUAAAAACUCACAAGAAGAAUUAAAAAUAAGAGUGAAAAAUAAAAAUAAAAUAAUAACAAAUGAACCAAAUACUUAUUGGGGCCAGCACCAACUGUACUUCAGUGAGAUGAUAAUUAAUAGUUCCUGAACAUAUUUUCUAGUGAAAAGGAAAAUAUUUAACUAGAAAAUAAACAGGUUUAACAGUAGAGAUCGUAUUUCAACCCUUUUCUAAUGUUUAAGAAUAUAAUAGAUCAAACUAAAAGUUUAAGGACAGCUGCACAGUAACUUCAGAGUGGAUUUUGCAAAUAACUCUCAACACUAACUUCCAUUAACAUGCUUAUCAGAAAAAAAUUGUAUUAGGUUACUUUAAAUCAUAGCUAUACAUCUGCAUUUAAAAGUGAGUAAGACGGCAUAAUGCAGGGAAACAUGCAAGCCGAUGAAAACUUAAUUAAAUCUUCAAUGACUGAAAUUGGUAAGGAGGAGAUGGUUAUAGGCAUGACAAGAAGGUAAAGAAAUGAUUCAGUACAACAAAAAAGAAAAAAAGACGAAUAUAAUUAAGAAGAAAGUGCACCUUGAAGAGUGGAUCAAUAUCCCCAUCAAUAUCAAACCAACAAAAGUCACUACUGCUUUUAGAUGCCGUGUACAAAGCAAUUUCCUUCUGCAAUUCGUGAAAACAAAGAAAUAUUAUGCACUUCAAAUUAUUAAAAUUGUCAAAGGUGCUUCAGAAAAAUCAAUUUUAUUUUAAAAGCAUUUCUUCCCAAGUUAUUCCAAACACACUUAAAGUGAACAGACCAAUUAGUAUACAAUUUUAUUUUAAAAGCAUUUGGUUCUUGGGUAGUUGGUUUGGUUGUUACUUGCUUUCAAUAUAUUGGGAGCCUUAUUUGGAAACAGGGAGUUUUUCCUUCAACAAAUAAUUUUUCCAGCUAGCUUAUUGCAUUACUCUGGCUGACCAUACUUUGUGAAGCUAGAGACGUGGUUCUAAGGAAAUGACAGAAUCAAUGCCCGUUUCAACCUUGUUUACCCAUAUCCUAAGUGAGGAUAAAAGGCAACCAAACUUGUCAAACCAAAAACUCUCUCAAUCUUUUUCCUAUUCAGUAGGUAGAAAACAAGAAACCACCUCCUAAAUACGUGAUCAUGCAAAUUCUGGGCAGAAUUGUCAUCCCUAGAUUCAUCUAGAAACCAACCUGAUAGAAUGCUAGGCAUUGAAGCACAAACUUCUCCAUGGAAUCUAGAUCCAAAUCCAAGGUAGCAUCAUAGUCCUUAACCUGCCAAAAAUAGGACACCAAGUAAGACAAAAUUGCAAGAUCCUUUGAAAAUGAAAAUCAAAUAAAGCAAUUGAUUAUUGUACCGCUAAUCCAUAUUCUCCGAUAGCGUGGUAGCAGGAAGCUCGCAAAUACAAACACUCAAUGUUGGCAUUCUCAAUUUUCAACCCAAUAGAUAAAUCCUUGAUAGCCUUUCUGCAAGUGCCGACUAGGUUAUAAAUUAGAAAAGAUGCAAGUAACAAGAUGACUAAACAAUUGUACAUGUCACAUUUGUUUUCAGUACCCAGAAAAUUCAGGCUAUUACAUAUGUUGUUAAAAAAUGAAAGAUGAGAUAAACAGGUUAAGAGAGACGAUGUUAAUAUUUUCUGCUUCAGCAAAAACUUUGGAAAAUAGGUAAACUGUGUCCAUUCCACCAGGUACGUUUUAUAUUUUCCAGUAUACAUUCUUCGUUGGUUAUGUUUCAUUAUUGGGAUUAAAUCUACUUAGCACUCAAGGAGCGGUAGACUGUUAUAUUGCAUCAUACAGACACUUAGUGAACUCUAAAAAUUUGAAAUGUAGUAUCAUUAACUCGAGCACUCAAAUAUAUUAGGACUAAAUUGCAUAUUAUUGAAAACCAUCUGAUAUGAGCAACGUUUAACUUCAUAAAGCUUUAAACCUAAGCAUAGAAGGAAUUGUAUUCCAAAUUGAAAGUCUAAUUAGAAAUUACCUCAAAUUCAAAAAUUGCAAUCCCUUAUGUUUUCAGGGGUUUGAAUCUCACUUGGAGCAAGUUUACAUUUCCGCUGGCUUGAAGGUAUGGUAUAGCUAGCAGUGGUGGAAGUCUUAUUCAUAGUUUCAGCAUUCGGCUGCAAGCUCUCAAGUUUUUUUUUUUAAUGUUUAUUUAUUUUGAUCGCUAAUCUCUACAUGGUUAUAUUUUAAUUAUUUCUAUCUUUGUUUUUUCUCUUUUCACUCCCUUUGAGAGUUUGUGUAACAUCCAAGUUCAAAGGGGUACAUGAAUGAACAACAAUCACCUUCAAAUGAGAGAGAUCCUAAGGAUAUGAAAGUAUGGCUAAGAAAAGCUUAAAAGUUACAUCCAAACCAAAAGGUGUGCCUUUCUUUUUGGUGGCUCAAUCACAUAAACUCCAAAGUUAAGUGUGCUUAGCUUGGAACAAUCCUAUGCUAGAUGUCUUCCUAACAAAUUUCCUAAAAAGCACGUGAAUAAGAACAAAGCAUGCUGAAACGACCCAAAUCCUUUCACUGUUGGACAGUUUAAGAAAAGUUGAUAGUGUGGCCAUGUCAUAGAGGAUGCAAGAGAAUGUCAGGAUCACAAAUCCUAAUCCAAAUCCAAAUCCUAGGUCUAGGACGUUAUAGUUUGCUUCCUCGAACAUUAAUUCCUUUCAAUUAUUUCUUGUUCAAAGAAACAAAACAACCCCUUGUAUACAACUUUUACUGUAACUUUACAAACUCCCAUUCAAGUCAUAUCUCCCACAAAUUGUAAGUUCCUUUUUAGAAAGUUGUCCCUUAUCUUCCCUUCAAUUUUUACUCUUAAUUUCUUUUUUCAAGAGAAGUCUUUAAGUGAAGAAUCAAGGCUCUUUGGAGGAAUAUCAUCAAGGAUGGCACUUGUCAUUUUGAAAGAAAAAAAAUCAUCCAACAAUGGGGCAACCAGCAUAAACAUCAAAGCAUUAUUUACAACAACACUCUUAGUAAAGUUGGUAAUGGCUCCUCCAUGACUUUUUGGUCUGAUUUAUGAUCUUUGGUUUUGACCCCUCAAGCAUUGCUUCCCUCAUCUCUUUGCCAAUGCCAAGUCCAAAGUUGCCACAAUUGAAGAGGUUGCUCUCGGUCCUUCAACUACCCAAGACACCUCAAAAAAGAUGGCAUCAAUUAAUGGCAGUUUUACACACCUCGCCGCAUCAACAAAAAAUUUACACACCUUGUCGCACCAACAAAUAGACCCUAAAGGUAUAGGGAGAGGGGUGUUAGGUACCUAAGUUCCUGAACACAGAAAAUACACAAAGACACCCAAUAAAACACACAAACACCACCAAAACAGGGUGUUACAGCCUCCAGUGUGACACUAUUAUUUAUCAACAGAUAUCCCAAGAGUUUGAGGAUAAUUUCUUUGCUUUGGCCCAUGUUUUUGGUUGAUCCUUUUGUACUCUUUGAUUAUUCUUGAUGAAAGUGGUUUUCUCAUUAAAGAAAUAAUAAAAAAAUAAAAUAAAGGAAAAGGAAAAAAUAACAAUCCAACAUGAACUCCAAAAAAGAUUGAUGAGGCAAAGCAUAUACCUGUGUUCUCCCAUCCCAUGGUACAAUAGCCCACGCAAAUGAUAUGCUUUUCCAAACCUAUCAAUCAGACAUUAUGACUUUUUAGAUGGAUUCCCCUUUAGCAAUCAAUACUCUGAAAAGGUUAUUAAUGAAAAUAAACAAGCAAAAUAUUGAAGAAUUGUCAGAAGCGUGGUUAAAAAGGAACGAGGAGCAAAACUAACGUGCUGUCUAUCUGUAGAACUUGAUGAAGACACUCCAAAGCCUUUGUUGAAUUUGCCAAAUCUUGAUAGAACUGUAUAAUUUAGUAUCAUAAUUAACCACACUUUAUAUCUUAGAAAAAGCAGGGCAGGGGGAAGCAAAAAAUAAAAAAUAGUCCAACUUGCAAUCCAAAAAGGAACUGCUUGCUCUUACAAUUUCUACUGGAAUCUGAACAUCACACACUGAUCAUAGUGUUUGUAUCAAGAAUAAAACAAAAUUAGAUAAUUUGCUCUGGAGACUAAUAGAUGUGUCCCUGAAGUAGCUAGCCUGCAUGGUUUUCGCUUUUUAAUUUUUAACCAAGAGGAAUUACAGUAAUAUUAACCCUUAGCAGCAAUAGGAGGAAUAUAAUUUAGGCUAGGAAGGCCUCCCAAACUCAGAGAUCACAAGAAAACAUCUUUAAUAUUCACUAUUCACAUGCUACCCAUUUAAGAAGGCUUCAACUAUAAACAAAAAGAAUAGGCAUUAGCAUUACAACUGGAGAACCAUGUGAAAUUUUUUUAACUUUCUUGGCUUCAUAUGGGGGCUCAUUGAUAGCUAGCUUAUGAGUGUAUAUUGCUGCGAAGUUAAAGAACUUCAUGGAAUUCACAUUAUUAAAGGAAUUUCUGUCUGUAAAGAAAACUGAUCAAUGGUUAGUUUAAAUAUCUUCCGAACUGACAGGUCAUGAAUUGGUAGAUAAGUAUAGAAAAUUUUCCAUCAAUUGACCUAUAUGUAGAAGGUUCUAACUUCAAAGAUUACUACUAGUGGUAAAAGAGAAACUCACAAGCCUGAUUGAAGGAAGAUAAUUCAAAAUUGAUCACGGUAACCAUGCAUUAGCUAAUUAACUGAAUGCCUGGAAUACCAUUUUAACCUCGUGUAAGCAUGAUCAAAUCUAUUCACCAAUGUAAAACAGGAAAGUUGAUCAUCAGUACGUACCUGAGUUAGAUGGCCCCAUGCCUCAAGAAAAUUUCUAUCUAAUUGAAUCGAUUUCAAAUGCGCCUCCUCAGCCCUUUUGUAAUCACCAAUUGAAGACAAUGCCAAGCCCUGGAAACCAUAGUUACUGCUUAUAGUCCAGACUGUAAGGAUUUCUCCCAGAAGAAGGCCAAUAAUUAUAUGCUAGACUCCAAUAUGAUCAGGCAAGUAUGAGACUCACCAAGUAUGUGUAUGCAGAUGUAUUGCACCCAUCAAGUUUGAGGCAUUCAGACAAAUCCUCCACGGCAGCAUAGAAGUCCUUGAAUUUGAAAUUAACAAUUCCUACAUUCAAGUGAUAAAAACUCUGAAGAACAGGGAAUAAACUUUUUGGCUACAACUAAAAAGGCAAAAUGAUGUAAUAAGAGCAAGUAUCAGAUAGAUUACCCCUUUCAUGUAAAAUAUCUGCAGAAUUUGGCUCAAGCUCUAAGGCCUUAGUUAAAUCUUCAAUUGCCUAAAUCAAGAAGGAAUUAAUUACAAAUGUAUUUAUGUCAAGAAUAUAGCAACACAGAAGAUGUUAGCAAUUGUAGAACAAUUCUUGGGAACACAAUCUAACAAAACCUAAAUUCCUAAAUCCUAAUGCUCAAUCAUAAAAUUUUGUAAUAAAUACAGAGGAAAAGAAUAGAUUUUCCUUGAACUUAGCAAGUGCAUCAAUUUCCACUCUGAAUUUUCAAUUUCAUCCAAUUAAACCCUAAGCGGGACAAGUGUAGCAAUUUUUACCUUCAGUUCAUUUUCCACUGUAUUCAUUGACUAAUUUUUACAAAAAGUACAGUAUAGUUUUUACACUAGCUAAUUUCCAUAACAAUCAACGGGCACAAAAAGAGGUCUAAUCAAUGAACCAGAUUGACCAUUGAAUCAAUCUCCCAAAACCCACCAAAAAAAAUCAACAAAAGUUCGGCUCUAGAUCAUAUAUCUAUCUAAGACCCAACCUGAGUAAUGUUUUUCAAUCCCAAUUAACUUCCUACUAGUCAUACAUUUCCAUAAAUUUUAAACAGAAGUAAAUUACAAGAUAAAAAUUGCAAUACUUGUUUAAGUUUACAGUAGAAACUGAAGUGCAUAUCUAAGUUCAGGUUCGAUACAAGCCAAUUAAGUUGCAAAAUAUCAAUGCACUUGGCAAAUUUCAAGUUAAUUUUCUUCACUAGAAAGUAUAUCAUACAUGCCUAGAACAUGCAUUAACUACAAUAUGAUGUUGCUUCAAUUAAAAGGUUGAUUUUUUAAAUACUGAAAUAAAACAACCGAAGCUUAGCAAGAGUAUAUGGCCAUGAAUUUUCCACAUAAAAAUAAUAGGACAGUUAUGGAUGAACAAGGAACAUAAUUCAUUUGAUGAAGCAUCCUCUUGCUAUGAAUAGAGUAGUUGUGGCUACAUGUUGGAUCACUUUUUGAAGUUUCCGAACUAAUAGAGAUCUUAGAGGGCAAAAAUUCAUCGAAAUACUUAUUUUAUAAGACACAGAGCUUCACUGAGAGAAAUGAAAGCAUAUAAAAAAACAUACCAAAAGAAUGAGCCAAAAAAUGAACAAACUACAUAGAGGGCCCCCAAUCCAAAAGAAAAUAAAACCUAUAUGAUAAUUACAAAAGAUCCCUAGUCAUAGAAUCCCAAACUGAGGCCUUCAGUCAACUGAAAGUGUCUCUAUGAUAUUCAAGGAGGGAAAGGGGGUUUAUGGGGAUCAAAAUACUGUUACCAAGAACUAUAUGCUUUUAUCCAAAUGGUAGUGGUGUUUUCUCUUAGAACCAUGCGCAUACUUGCAAGUGGUAUCAAAUUAUUGUUAGCAUAUAUAGGCUUCAACCAAAUGGAAUUGAAUUUAAUUGUGGUUUUCAAUGGAGCCUUUGGAAAUUCUUGGAAGGCUAUGACCCAAUGUGUUUCAUUCAAACUUCUCAAAUUCAUAAAUUACCCAGAGUGGCUCCUAAUAGUCACACAACUUCCACAAAUAAUAUCAAAAAUCCAGAACUAUAUAGAUAUAUAAUUUCCUAAAUUAGCAUCCUAAUCCCUGCUAUGGCAAGCCAAAUGAUAAGAAUCAAACAAGCUACUAGCUACAGCGAAAAGGUUCCAUUAACCUUGAAAUCAUGGUCAUGAGAUCAUUCUUAAACGAUCAAAGAAGAGGAUUGUUGACCAAGAUAUAAAUUCAAACAGUUUAUGCUGAACUUACCUCAGCAGAUGCCCCUAAUGCAGCCCGAGCCUGCCCUCUUCGUUUCCAUGCCUCACCAGCAAAUGGGUUUGAUUCUAAAGCCUGAUAUUUGAUUAGAUUAACAGAACUUUAAUCGAAAAAUCACAUUUCCCUUCCACGUCUUAUCAUUCACAUACCUUCGUAAAAUCACUAAUAGCAGCAUCUAGUUCUCUUUGAAAUGCAUAAGCUGUUCCUCUUCCAAUUAAUGCCUCAGGAUAACUAGGAUCUUCCUUCAAUAUCUGUGGAAAACUAAAAUGGCCCUCAACAUUCUCAAGAUGUUGACAGUUUAGGCUAAGUUUCUUACCCAUUUGUCAUAAAUAUAUUCACAAACAACGAAUGGUGAAAGUAGAAGAGAGAACCGCUUGCUAAGAACCAGAAAUUACCUGGUCAAAAAUAGAAAUAGCAUUUGCAUAUUUCCCUUCAUUGACCUGCCAAAGAUUAGGAUGUGAGUCUUCAGAAUAUUUAUCUUCUAAGUUCUAGAAUACAUUAUAUGAACUAGAAAUAUAGUGUAGACACCUCAGCUAUGCCUCUUGAUAGUCGGAAGUCUACACUUAUUGACUUGGUCUUUGAAAUUUUAGCAACAGAGAAUUUCUUGGUUCUCCUGGCUUCAUCGCUUACAUUACCUCGUACAUCUGACGUUUUACUUGACUUACUUAAAAUGUCAGUGGAAUCACCUGAUUUGCUAUGAAAAGCAGUUAAUUUAGAUUUAUUACAAAACUCAGGCAUAUCGCUUCUUAAAUCAUGCAAUUUGGAAGCAUCACUUAAUCUAUCGUCAUUGUCAGUACACCCAUUGCUUUCGCACUUAAUAUCUCUGUUUGGACCAACUUCUUCACAUCCGCCUUCACAUACUACAAGAUUGUCACUUGAAAUGCUGCAAACUUCAGAUGAAUCACUUGACUUCAUGCAGAAAUCAGGGUGUUCCAUGAGUUUGCCAACAUUAUUAUUUGUUUCCCUACAGUUUUUACUAGCAGAUGUAACUCCUGAUUCAGGACCAACGGUUGAAAAUCCAGAUUCCACCUCUCCAUUUUCCACAUUGUUUUUCUCUUGUUUUUCUCUUGUCAUAAGCUCUUCCAGUUCUAGCAAUUGCUUCAGGUCUGUAGUUUGGCACAAGGCAUACUGGUAACCUCUCUCCCAAAUAGAAAGAGCGUCUCCUCUCUUUCCCAAGGCAAAGUAUGCCUGACCUAAACAACAAAAAUUCCAGACUGAUCUCAACAAAUUUGUCCACAAAUCUCAAAAUAUUUAUAUUUCAACAAGGAACAAAAACACAUGUUAAAAAACAAAAAAAAUCAGAAUUAACCCCAGUGUAAGUUAUAAAAAACGACAGCUGGUUUUGAAGAUAAAACUCAAAAUAACAAUUUUAAAAAAUACUUUAAAAAUGCCCUCCAUUUGGUUUCGUUGGUGAGCAGCAAAUAUAUGUCACGUAGGCAAUUCUGCUACAUGGACGUUCUUAUUGUUCGAUAACAUGUUCAUUUCAAACCAACAGCACAUGGUCCAUAAGAAAUUUAUAGUGUCGCUGAACGUUGGGAACCCAUACCUAUGAAACGAACAACACCCCCCAAGACCACCAGUCCAACGUUCAUAUACCAUUUUUUUUGUUACCGGAUGCUGCAGUGCCCAAUUCGGAAGACCCAUGGUUCAUGCCUCAUUUAGUUGUUAAUUUCUUCGAAUUCCCUAUUGCUCUCAUUCACUCGUCAUGAGUAUUAAACAGAAGACAUUAAAAACUAAAAUCCAAAGCCCUCAAAUCGACAUGCCAGUGAGUUCCGAAAGUGUAAGAAUUAAAGGCUACAGCCACAACUUUUUAUCCCAUCAAUAAUUGAAUUAUCAAAAUCAGCUCAAAACUACAAGAGAAGAGAGCUAAUUGAACAAGCACCUUUGAGCACAUAAGCUUGAAGAAUCGAGGGAUCCAGUUGAAGCGCCCUAUCGCAGUCCUUAAUUACAUGCUUGUGAAGCUCCAAUUGGCUGUAACAGAAUGCUCUAUUGCUGCAAAACCGAUAUUCCGAUAGUUAGACCUGAAUCAACCCACCCGUCCUUUCAAAAAGAUAGAUGAAAAUCGAAAAAGACAACGAGUCAAAGAGAAGUGAGCAAGAAUGGAGAAAAUACCAUAUGUCCUGAACGGUGCAGGACUUUGCUAUGAGCGAGUCGAGGACUCUAAUAGCUUUGGACCAGUCCUUAGAGCGGCAAAAUUUGGCGAGCUCGACUCUCUCAGAGAUGGCCGGAGCCAUGAAUUCAGCUGGACGGAAAAAGAUACUUCCAAAAGAUCAGCCGAUGGCAAAUUCUUUUAUUGUGUGUGCAGUUCGUCUAUGUCGACCAGUCCCUUAUUGACUCUUCAAAGAGAAGUGUGGAAUGAGAUGAUCGCAGCGCCCAUAGUCGACCUGUAUCGAGCUUGAAACGGAAAAUGGGAAACGGGAAGAAACUGAGACUCUCGGAAACGGCGUUGAUAAUAUAUCGAUUCGAGAACGGUGUGUAGUUGUGCACUCGCCGCUAAUAAGCGUGCGUUUCACACGUGUUGUGAGAUGCACUGCGUGAUGUUGUUGGUUGAGUGCGGUGACGUUGUCACGAUUCCUUGAAACCAACAACUCGCUCAAAACUUGGCUUUGUUGGGUUCAAUUACUUCAAACUAAUUAGCUCUUUUUUUCGUAAAAUGUACAUUUUUUAAGGAAAAAAAGUGCACCCUCUUCCUCAUCUUUUUUAAAUAAAUUUAACUACAAAUGUCAAAAUUAAUAAUUUAGAAAAAUAAAUUAUUAAAAAUAAUAAAUUUGAUCACAAAUAUUUAUAAAUUAUAGCAAAAUUUUAUAUUCUAUUUUUGUAAAUAUUUUAUUUUAUUUUAUUUUAUUUAAAAAUUAUCAAAAAAAAAAGAAUCACAAAAUUUAUUUACAUUUGAUGGAGAUAGUUUUAAAACAUUAUAGAUUUUUAAAGAGAUUUGUUUUUUAAAUUCAAAACUUUGACAAUGUAUUCUAAAUACAUUUAAAUUCUGGACAGUUAUAUUUUAAUAUAAAUUAAAGAAACAUAUCCUUAAAAAUUGAAUAUUUAUAUUUUUCGUUUGAAAAUGGUCAACUUAUGAAUGUAAUGUCAUAUCUCAAUUAUCAUGGUAUAAAAUUAACUCAUAAGUCACAAUCUUUUUUUAAAAAAAAAAAACUCUCAUAGCCUACAUAAUUUUCCUCAAAUUUCAAUGAAAAAUCAUAUUGAAAUAAUGUUGACGUGAUAAAUAAUUUCUCCAAAUAUUUAGUUAAAUUAAUGACAUCAACCCACUCACACAAGAAAGAGAGGGAUUGGGAAAAACGCCUUAUAUAUUAAAUUUACCAUCUUAGUUUUAUUUUUUUACAUCAACGUUAAAUACAAUAAUAAUAAUUUUAAAAAAUACCCUUAUCAUGACGAAUGGAUAAAAGGUCGGGAUGAUUUUUCAAGUCUAUUUUAUCAAAUUGAAGUGACUAAAAUUAUUGAUAAAAAAAUGAAAUUAGGUGUGAUUUCUCCAAAGAAAAAUUGUCAUAUUUUUUUUUAAAUGCAUUAAAAAUUUAUUAUUUGCGUGUACAGAGAAAGGAGAUUACGUACAAGCUAUAGUUUCCUGUAAACCCCUAAAUUACUCAAAAACUUAAAAACAAAAGUGAAAAUUGUUGUUGUUAAUUUUUUUUAUCAUAACCUUUUUUUAAUUCAAAGUAGAAAAAUAAAAUUAAAGAGGGCAAAUAAGUAAAUUACCAAAAAAGAAAUAAAAAUCAGAGGGCAGGUGUCACCGUGCAUGCAAUUGCCGGCCCAAAGGGUCCCACUUUCACAUUUCCAAGACCCUUUUCUACCUAUAAACUUUACACACGUGUCAUCUCAAAGAGCUCCCGCAACCGACUGUCGUACACUUCAAAUCAUAAACGGCUGCCGUUGGGUUAACUCUUAACAACAAAAACCACCAGCACCAUUUUGGACUUGGUCGACGAGGUCCGGCGCAGAUCAAAACAUGAGUCCAGUAGAAGAAGCUCACAACGUGAACGUUCUUGGGUCAGGGCAACAAGUAGUUGUGCUAGGGCAUGGGUUUGGAACUGACCAAUCGGUUUGGAAGCACCUGGUCCCUCACCUAGUGGAAGAUUAUCGAAUCGUUCUGUUCGAUAACAUCGGCGCUGGAACCACCAACGCUGACUACUUUGAUUUCAACAGAUACUCGACGGUCGAGGGGUGGGCUUAUGAUCUCCUAGCCAUUUUAGAACAUCUUCAAAUUACUUCUUGUAUUUAUGUUGGUCACUCUCUCUCCGCCAUGAUUGGAGUCAUCGCCUCCAUUAUUCGCCCUGACCUUUUCUUUAAGCUCAUUUUGCUCUCCGCCUCACCGAGGUACUUUCUUUUACAUUACUGAAGGCCAGCGUUUGUAACCCUUUAAUGUUUGUUUUUGCUUUUUUAUUUGUAAUUUCUUAAAAAUUGAUGUGUUUGAUAACUACUUUUUUUUUUAAUUAGGUAGGAAAACUGAGAGAUGAAAAGAUGAAAAAGAAAAAAAAAAAAAAAAAAGCUAAAUAUUUUGAAUUUUCAAACGAACAAAGAAAUAUGUUUGUAAAACUAAAUUUUUAAAGGUGAACACCUAAUUGAUUGUUGGAAAAAGUAAUAAAUUUUCGUAAUUUCAUAUGAGUUGGAAGAGAUAUCUUUUUAGUUCAAGUAUCGAGCCACCUCAUGGCUCGUAUUUUGCUAGUUAGUUAAAUAGCCUUAAUUUUGACGAAUUUUAAUUCUUUUAGAUUAAUUAACAAGCAAUAAUAUCUAAGUGAGUAUUUUGUACAUAAAUCUUGAAACAUAAAUUAGAGAAUUAAAAUUCAAAAUUAACUUAAAUUUAUGUAUGAUAGAAUGUUGAAUUUUGACGAAGAAGUAGAAACUAAACUACAAAAUUUAUAGGAAAAAGUGAACCUUUUACUUUGUUAUCUACAUUAUACAAAAUGGGUUAUAGUCAACCUCCAACUUUUUGUUUCUGUUUUUCCUAAUUAACCUUAUAUUUUAAAAAGUUACUAAUUGUUGUUUAUAUUAAUAAUUGCAAACAUAGCCAUCAAAAUCAAAAUAUUAACGUAAAUAACAAAAAAAGAAUUAAUUGCAAGUAUAGUCAAAAUUAUCAUUUCUACGCAGGUAUAAAAUUAAUAUAUCCAUGACAGUUACCUUUAUUAUACGCAGGUAUCUAAACGGUGUGGACUAUUACGGAGGAUUUGAGGAGGAAGACAUAACCCAAAUCCUAGAAGCGAUGCAAUCAAAUUACAAAGCAUGGUGUUCAGGGUUCGCGCCGCUGGCAGUGGGCGGGGACAUGAAAACAGGUGCGGUUCAAGAGUUCAGCCGGACAUGUUUUAACAUGAGGCCAGACAUAGCCCUGAGUAUCAUGCAGACCAUUUUCGAGAUUGAUACUAGGCCAAUGUUAGGGCUGGUCACCGUCCCUUGUCACAUCCUACAGAGUGCCAAAGACAUGGCAGUCCCUGUCGUCGUCUCCGAGUAUCUGCACCAGAAUAUUGCGGGUCACUCCAUCGUCGAGGUCAUGGAAACGGAGGGUCAUCUCCCUCAAUUGAGCUCGCCUGAUGUUUUCAUCCCUGUGGUGCUUAGGCAUAUCCACCAUGAUAUUGCCGUAUGAGUUUUUUUUUUUUUUUUUUUUGUAUUUUUUCAAAACUCACAAGGGCAACAAAAUUAUGCUAUAAUACUAUCUGCUCUUUUUUUUUAAUUUCUUUCUAUUUUUCUCAUCGAAAAGGAAUAGCAUCCACUGUUUUCUGUGUGAGGUUUUUGGGUUUGGGACUUUUAAGCUUUGAUGAAGUAAUUAAUUGUUAAGGUAUAGUAGAUUGAAUUUUUUUUUUUUUUUUUGUUGGUUUUAGGUUGAGAGCUGUGUUUUUACUUGUAUAUCUAUGGGUCUCAACUAAUAUAAGAACCAUAUUUUUACCUGUAUAUUUAUGAGUAUUAUAUUAUCUAGAUUUUUGGUCGCAUUUUUUCAACCGUUUCUCUUUUCUAGCUAUCCCACCCUAUUUACCAACCAUAUCAAAUGUAUUUUAAUCCUGAAUCAAUAGUUAUAAUACAUUCAAAAAAAUUCAAGGUUGAUUGAAAUUUAAUUAUUUUAAUAGUAAAAAAAAUUAACUUUAUAUAUAAUAUUAAAAUGACAUGAUACAAUUAUACACACAGAAAGAAAAAAAACUUCUAAUCUUAUGUGAAACUAUGCUGAGUUUGGAAUUAUCACCGACACAUGUCUCUAGUCAACUAGCAUCUUUAAAACUAACAUAACUUAGAAGAAUUUAGUGUUACGUUUUAAAAUUAAAAAAAGUAUAUUAUGACUUUUAAAAUUUUAGGAAAUAAAAAAAAUGAAGAUAAGAAUGCAUUUUUAAACUUUUAAAAUUUGGGCGUGGAAGCUUGCAUAUGUCUAAUCUAAUUAAACCUUAUGUUUUCACAGUUUUUAAAAUAUAUAGUUGUUGUUAACUAUGUUUUUCUUAUUAAAAGAUCAAAUAUGAAAGUUGAACAAGUUAGUCUUAGAUGAUUGGUAUAGAUAUAACAACUACAGUUGACUUGACACUAUUACAAAAAUAUUAUCAUAAUUAAAUAGGAGUUUUUUCAAAAGAAAAAAGAAAAAAAUAUAUUUACCUUUCAUAAAAUCACUCAAACAUAAAAUUCAUUACUUUUCUUUUUUUAUAUAUAUAAUUUUUCUAUUAAAUAAUUUAUUUUAGUAUAGACGAUAAUGACCAUGUUCUUUUAAUGUGAUAAUUCAAUUGAGCUUAAGAAAUGCAACAUUUUCUAAAACCAUUGGUAUUUGUUGAUUCUUUGUAAAUGUUUGUUACCGUUUAAUAUACUUUUUGCCUGUGAACGUUAUUCGUGCAUAAUUUUCAUAAUUCGAUUGAAGAUGGUGGUGUAAAUAAUCCACCAAGGAAUCAUUUGUUUGCUCCAUCUACCUAUAACAGUUUCUUUGGGAUCAUAUUUUGACGACGGCAAAUUGUUGGUCAAAUAGAAAUAUGACCCAAAAUCAAUGAAUUGCGAAUAUUUGUUUAAAAUAAAGAAAGGGAUAAUUAUUGUGUUGAAAACAUUUUUAAAAAAUGCAUAACAAAAACAAAGCAUAGCAAAAUUGUUGGGACAUCAACUUUGGCCAUGCAUCACACCAAACAGAUUUGUCCAAUCCAAUACUUGGAUGUAUACGUGAAUUUCGAAAUACUUACAUUCCUAAUAUAAUCGUCUCUUCUAUGAAUGAACCCCUAGAUUUCAAGCAUAUUAUUAAAUUAUAUGGGUAAAAUAACUGUGUGAACAAAUUUAUUAACUUGUUUAACAUUUAAAAGAACAUAAGAAACAACCUACUAUUUUGGUGUAUCAUAAUAUUUUAAACUAAGCUAAAUUGAAUCAAAUCAACAAAUUUAUUUAAACCUAACUAAAUAAAAUAAAUUUUCAUAUCAAAAUUAAGGGUUCAUUUUAUCAAAACAACAACUAAUGAAAAUUGUACCUCUAACCACUGGAGAUUGAGGUACUAAUUUAAUGACGUUCUUAACAAAUAUUAAAACAAUCGGUAUUGAAGAUCGAACACAUACAUGGAAGAAAUCAGGAAAAAAAAACAUUAACAUGAAUAUCCAUCACAGCCAUGUUGUUUUUUUUUUUUUAAGUUAUUGAAUAUAGUCUUAAUAUUUUUUUAAAAUUAGAUACAUAUAACUCUUAUAAAAUAUAUUAUUAUUUAUUUACAAAAAAAAAAAAACAAUCGCCUAGGGUUUUUUUGGUAUAACAAUCUAAGAAAUGAAAUGUAGAAUGUAACGUGACAUUGAUCAGUUUUACAAAUUUUAUUUUAAUUUGAUUCAGCCAUCAACUUUUAUAUAUUUAAAUUAUCACAUAAGCACUGUUUUACUAGUCAAAUCAAUUAAAUUAAAUUCAUACAAUAUUCAAUAAAAUUUAGUUGCUUCACAUUAAACGCGCGUUUCACAUAGAGUCGACGGAGAAAGAUCGAGAGUCAGACCUAGAGACAUCGAGAAGCAGGGAGUGAAGGGAAGGACAACCGCUACCGGAGACUAACGACGGGCGACUUCAAUCCAUAAGCCCUAGUAGAAGAGGGGGAGAUCGCCGACGAGGGAAGAGCGCACAAGUCUCUGUGGCUGAUUUGAUUAAUCCACUGCCCUAAAAUUUCCCGAUUCUCUUUCCACUUGCCGAUAAUUUCAGGCUCCGGCGAAAGAGAAGGACGCCGAUGGGCUUUAUCAGAAGUAGCUUCUCAUUUAUAGCGGGAUCUGUGUUCGGGAUUUACGUGGCUCAAAAUUACAACGUCCCCAAUAUCAGGAAGCUCGCAAAUACUGGGCUUGCAAUGGCCAAGCACAUCGAAGAGAAUUACAGGAAGCCAAAGAAGAGGGAUGAUGAUGAAUGAUUGGAUGAUUUACAAUCCAGGUUCCCCCUUUUGACAUACUAUUGAAGUAGUGCUUGUUACUUCUGGAUCUUUAGGCAUUGAAUACACGUUGAAAAUUUAUGGUUUUAUAUACAGGAGACUGAUUUUUUUUCUCUUAAGCAAUGUAACGAGUUUCAAUCACAUAAUUGGAGUUUGGAAUUUCUUCUCAGAUGAAUGCAUCAUUUUUGGUCUUGGAUGCUAUUGUGGUAAAUAAAUUAUAAGUAAUGCAACAUUUUCUAAAGCCGUAGGUAUGCAUUUGAUUCCUUGUAAAUAUUUGCUACCGUUUGGUGCAUUUUGGCCGGAAUACUCUUUAAUGUUGUAUUGGGGAAGACCUUUGUGGGAUAUAUUUGUGCAUUUUUUUCCCGAUUUUCUAUCCCUGGAACUUGUAGAAUAUUUCGAUGACUGCAGUUAUAUAGUGUGUGUCUGUGUAAGAAGCAAACUUCAUUGAUAUAUGGAGUUUAUAAAAGAAGGGCAAGUAGCCCAAGCCAAAGGAGUUAUAGGAGACUUGUAUUGGUGUAUCAAGUAAGGGGAUUGUGAUACAAGUGCAUGUUUUUAACUUUGUACCAUGAAACUUGAAAGAGAGAGAGGUGGAUGGAACCUUUUAAUGUAGAUUGGAUUUGGAUUAAAUGAUCUCAAGUUGGCAUCCAACUUACAUUUGGAAGAUCAUUUGCAUUCAAUCGUUCCUGAACUAGAAGCUAUACUAAAAGUUCUCUAGUUCCCGGUAGUUUCUAAUUCGUUUUGGCUGUGAUCAAUUAUAUAUUUGGAAUAUUAUCUUUGUAACUCUGGUAGGAUAUGUACGUUAAAGGUCCAUUUGAAAAGAGAGAUUCGACAUCCUUCAAACAAAGUUGGUUUAGCAGAUAAAAGCUUGUGAAUGGAGAAUUGUCUUGAUUUGUCUGUAUGAGUUUUACCAAGGUGUGCUGUCACAUACUUGUUUGCAAUACACAACUACUUACUUACGCUCCAUGAUGCAAGAAACAAACAAUUCGUCUUCAAAAUUUGAUAGGGCACUUGUGUUGGUAACUAAAACGUCUAGAAGAGCAAACCAGGAUCUAUCAGAAAGGGGGUCUAAGAGAAUAAAGAGAAGAGAGCUAAGUAGUCUCAUUACUUGAUGUGAACUUUUUUGCUUCACGAAUUUUGCUUUAUGUCAUUAUUGGAGACAAGAUUUGGAUGGAGUCCUUUCAUAAACUCUUUAUUGUCCAGCUCAGCCUCUGUUAAGGAGAUGCCGACUAAGUAUUGUAUUGUUUUUUUAGAAUUAGGACUAAGUAUUAUGUUGUUGCUAUCAGGACAACACAUGAAUACGUGUGCUUUGGGAUACAUUGUCUGAGAAGGUUGCUAUCAAGCACUUCAUGAACUGUGAUAUUAGUUUGAAACCCAAGAACUCAGUUAUUAAAGAUCACGUUAUAUGGUCUCAGUUUGCUGUGUGCUCUUUUUCAUCAUGAUUUGUACGCUAAUUGAAUGGUGAAUAUUACUUACUUCAUCCCAGCUUGAAUUUAUGCAGUUGUGAACUUGUGAUCUAUGUCCAACUGGAGGUUUUCGAUACUGGGAAAUUGGUAACUUCAACCAUGGUUAGAUCUUCUACCAUUUUCCAUGCUUUAAUGGUUCUGUUAUGCUGUUGGUUUCAUAAUCCAAAAAUAGAUAUUGUACCAAUGUAAAGCUAGGGUACUUGAGAAAGUAAGAGAGUGAUGUCCAACUUUGCUAAGUAGUUUAAUUUCUAGAUCUGAUUUUAGUUGACAAGGUUCUUAUGCUUAUUGGCUUAUUCUAGUAAUGUUAAAAUGUGCAAUGUUGAUGAUCAAACCUUGUGUUUAGUUAGUAUUUGAUAACCAUUUUACAUCAGAUAUAUCUCAUGUUGGAAGUAUUUAGGACUUCAUAUGUUGUAUUGGACCUUACUGCUAGACGCUCCCAAUUCUUAAGGUACUUACAAAAGUUUGCCGAAAAAGAAGUGAUUCCAAAAUUUGCUUUUAAAAGACACAUUCGACAAAUUUUAAAAUAGUACGAGAAUGAUCCAAUGGCAUUGUCCUGUUCCAUUCUCCAUUGGCUCUCUCACCCAUAAAGUAUAUUCAUUUUAAACUUUAAUCAUGACUAUCACUAUUGUCUAUCCCCAAUGCCUCUCUUUCUCAUGACUACCACCAUUAGUGAUGCUCAACUCUCUUCCUCUGUGCAACAAUCAUUUUCUUACUUUUAAUAUAUAAUAUAGGGUAAUAUGCACUAGUCUAUAUGGUGUAAUUAAAUGGCAGUCUUUUCAUGUCUUCGUAUUUAUUCCAUCUUUUUGUUUUAUUUUUACUGUUUUGUCUUUUUUCUCCCUGCGCUGACAUUUGAAAUAGAAAUAGAUUUGUGGUUUGUGAACUAUCCUUAACGGGCAAGGAACAUAGUAGUGUAAUCGAAGAAGUUGUGAAUUUUUUGACUUAUAUCGAUAAGUUAAUAGAGGAUACAAUUGAUGUCAUUCGUCGUGGAUCUUUAAACUCAAACAAAUUUAUCUCUGCUACUUAGUCUUAAGAUCAUCUAUGUGCUAGAGAUCAGAAGUAUGUAUUGUAAAAUGGGUAUUUCUUUGUAUUGAAUCGCUAAAGUCUUUCAUUCGGACGCUUUACGUUUUCUUAUAUGUGACUAAUUGUAUAUGGACAAAAUCUAACAUGGUUGGAAUUUCUUUUAACUUACAAUUAGGGAUUUAAACUGACGUAUGUAUGGAUUUUAUUGUUAUUAUUUUAAGUUUAAAGCUUUCCGUUCCAAUCCACGGCUCCUUUUUGAGAAAUAGAAGAGGGGGAAACACCCUUGAAAGACGUUAGAGUUAUUUCUCGUGUUCUCCAUUUGAGAGAGAUACAAUAUAAUAUUCUAGAUUAAAUUUACGUAUAAUACAAUAUUAAUCAAAUAAUAACAAACGAUUAAAUACAAUACAAUAUAAUAUUCUAGAUUAAAUUUACGCAAAUAAUAACAAACGAUUAAAUUGAAAUGUCAAGUUACUUCUUGCCUAAAUGGAGCAUUUCGGGUAUUUCUAGUCCAUAAUAUUCAAAAGUUAAAAGCCUUUAAUUAUCGAAAACCGAUAAUAAAACAUUAUAUAUAUAAGUUAUAAGUCCAAGAUUUGAAUUUCCAAUUUGAAUUAUUAAUCAAACCCAUAGGCCAUAAUCAUAAAUUAGUUUUAAGAGAAGAGAGAGAUCAAGUAUUAGAAGCAUGCGUUGAAUUUUUUGUAGGUAUCCAAAGCUAAGUCUAAACCUCACAGGAAAAGUUUGCAUGCGAGAGCUCCUUUAGCCAUUCAAAUGUCCGAUGACGAGACAAUUCCAACUUUUCCUCUUCCUCUUUUUCUUUUCCCACCUUCUUCAUUCUCAUUUCCCUCUUCGCCGUCGCCUGCGCCGGAAUAUUCUUACUGUUCCCCUUCCUCCUCACCCCCACCAUCGCCUUCGGCGCCGGCGCCACCGUCGACUCCACCGAACACUUACACCCGACCCCACCUAGAAUUCCCCUGCUUUUCCUCUCUAUCAAUACACUCUCUCGAGGUUUUCUCAUCAUCACCUUUACGCUUCUCUCGUUGCUUAAGGGGGCCGGAACAAAGGCCUUCUCGCUGUUGCUUCGGCUGACGGAGGAGUUCCUCCUCGUGCUGCUUCGGUGUUUGAGAUCCUCUAGUUCCAUUCCCGGUGUUUUCACUACUCCCAGCCGGAAAAAAUCCCACCCGAAGGAGGAUUUUUGGCGGUUUCCGCCUGUGCUCGCCUGUCGGAAUGUCAUCGGUGAGGCUUUGAUUUGGGGUUUAGGACUCGGGUGGGAGUGGAAUAAAUUUGGAACCCUGAGCUGCGGGUUUCUAGCUGCAGAGGUAAUUGUUAAGGAAUUGUUUGUUACGCUCGAGGAAGAACACUGACUUCGACUGCUACUGCUUCCGCUGCUAUUGAUGCUUCUCAAGUGCCGGCGGUAGACUCCGGCGGAGGUAUUGUCGGAGCUAACAGAGAGCCGAACCGGCAAAAGUUGGCCCUGGUAGAAGACCUCGUCGGCCAAACACAUUUCUGGCGGUGGCUGAUCGGCGAGAUUACUGAAACCUCCUAAAGAACCGAAAUCAAAUUCAUCAUCAGCGGCGGCUAUGGAUGUCUCGCCGGCUCUGGGUUUAAUUUCUAGGAGGAAAUGGGGGUUGCCAUCUUUGACUAGAUUGAUGGGAAGAUCGCAUAAGGAUAAAGAUUCAUCAUUUUCAUCGGGCUCCUCCAUGUAAAGUUUAUCUUCACCACAUCUUUCACUGUCAUAGCUUCUCCCCAUUUUCAUGGUUUAUCCAAAUAGUUAAUUCUCUUCUCCAGAACCUGUGGAGAAGGGAAAAAGAACACACUGAAUUAAUAACAGAAGAAACCAAAAACAGAGUGAGAGAGAAGGAAUGUGAAUGUGAAUGUGAAGGCAAAGGGAGACAGAGUAUAUAAAGGAGUAGUAUUUGGAAGCACCCAAAAGCAAAAGGAAUUGAUAAUUAGAUGGUGGGAAUUGAUUGGUUUCUAUAUGUAUAUGAUUUAAUGAUUAUACUUCUUAAUUCUUAUUAUAUUGUUUAAACUAGGAAAAUCUUGAUUUCCAUUAUAAUAAUUUGUGUUUAGAGUGUAUAUAUAACAAUCACAAAGAGCGAUUAGAAAUAGUAAAUACCGAAAUAAAAAAGAAAUGUCAAGUAGUAUUAUCAUAGUUUAUUAUAAGUUAUAAUAGUUGGAAAUCAAAUAUCUAAACAUAAAUGGAUCUUUUGAAGGCUCAUAAUUCAAUAAGCUAGUAAUUUAAUGUAAUUCAAGGUCUAUGGACUCGAUCCGUAACAUUAAAUUCAUUUCGUUCUUACACUUUUAAAUUCAAUAUUUUUUCUCAUUGUUUUAACGUUUCAUGAUACUAUUUUUGUUCUGUUUAUUCGGCUUAACACGUAUUUCAACAUCAUCCAUAUUCUAAUAAUUCUCAUUACAUUUUAGCCUUCCAAAUAACGUAUAAGUGGACUAUAAUCCAACCUACUUCACCCAGUUAAAAGUUGGAGCCAAGUGAGCCAUAAGAAUGUUAAUAUGGAACAUCAGGAUAAUUCAAACAAUAAGAUAUUAAAAAAAACAGACAGAAUGAAACUUUUUAAAAGGGCUCAAAAGAAGUGCAAAAUGGACCCCAACAUGGGGUCAUUUGAAUGUUAGAAAAGAGGGGGAAAUCCAGUCCAAAGAAGUAGAGAGGCAAAUGAGCAUUACCAAAUUGAGGGAAUGUUAACUAAUUGAUUGUUUUCCUAUAGCAUUUCUAAGAAGUGGAGUUGGGGGGGAAGAAUGAAGAAAUUUCUGCCAAAAGUGAUUUUGGAAGCUAAAAGAGAGAAAUGGGAGACAGUGAAAACCAGCCUUGGGAGUUAAGUGGAGCAUUCUCAAAAGGAAUGAAAGAAGAAAAAAAAUCAGACAAAAGAGAAAGCACUUUGAUCUUUAAAUUUUGUAUUUAAACUCAAUCUCUCAACCAGGAAAAGAGAUCUUUAUGUUAGUUUUAUUUGGGUAAUAGCUUUCUUUGGGCUGUCUUCCUCUUCCAUAUGGUAACUGUAAAGACCAAAUUGGUUUCCAAGGCAUUUUUUUUAAUUAUCCAUUUCUGCUUUUGUUCUUUUUUAACCUAAUCCAUAAAGUUAGUGAGGCAGAAAGAAGGAUGUGUGUCCUAAAAGUAAAAGAUGAGACCAAGUGGAGUUAGAAAGGACAUGCUCUAAAGUAAAGAACUGGAGACUAUCUCAUUUUUUUAGCUCAUUUGGAUCAUUUAUUCAACUUUUUCUUUUUAAUGUUUAGAUAUCAUGCUGGUUUAAUGAAGGAAAAGUAAACCAAAAGGCAGUCUUUUUAAUUAGUUUUCAACAACUAUACUUUAUUUUCUAAGUUUUUAUGACUCCUUUAAAAAAUUCUGGUUCAAAGUAGAUCGUUUAAUUAAAUCCAACGAAAUUUUGAAAACAAAAGAAAAUAUAUUUUAAAAGAGAUUAAAAACUUAUUUUAGUUUAAAAGUCUAAAAAUCUUAACAGAAAAAUAGGAAAAUUAUCCUUUUUUAAAAAGUCUACAAAAUUUACAUUUAGAUAUAUAGUCCUUUUAGAAAAUUCCUGCAACACAACAAUAUUUAGAAAAUGAAAAAAAGCAUAAAAGCCUACCAUGUAAAAAAUUGAUAUUGGUAGAUGAUCGUUUGGUAGAUCAUAAUUUGGAUGAUCGAUUGGUAAAAUGAUCUUCAACAUAAUAUUACGAUAUUGAUAGAUAAUACUACGAUAUUAAAAUGAUCUUCAACGUAAUAUUAUACAAAGGUAGCAUAAUAUUAUACAAACGCUGGUAACAUAAUAUUAUACAAACGUUGGUAUGAUCAUGUAUUGGUAAAAUGAUGUUCAACAUAGUAUUAUACAAACAUUGGUACAAGGAUUUGUAUAAUUUGGUACCUUAUACCAAAAUCAUUUAGAGGUGAUCUUAUCCGAAUAGGAUGUUCUGAUUAAUUUUUAAAAAUCAAGCGCACGCAUCUUGAAAGAAAAGUUUUAUUUUGUUGUGCACCUUCAUUAAUCUUAAUCUUUCUUUUCAAAAAGUAAUCUUAAAAAUUUGUCCCUCUAAUUUUUUUAAAAACUCAGUGUUGUUGUCCACCUUUCCACUAACUUCUAAGAAAUCGACUACAGAUGCAAAUAACUACAAACAAAACCAUCUUUGAAUAGGAAUUGCUCUCAAUUAUAAUUACUCGUCAUACAUUGAUUUAUAUAAUAGAUACUACCAACAAUUUUAAUUGUUUUGUUCCUUUUUUUAGAUGAAUAACUCGAACUUUAGAUCACCUAUAUGUGCUAAAAAGAACUAUCAAAACAAUAUUUUUCUUUUAGAAAAUUGCAUUAAAUAUCAACUUUUAAUUUUUUUAGAAAAAAAAAAUAGAAACUACUUUUUAGAAAAAUAAUUUAAGUGUUUGUCUAACAUUUCACAAUCUUACAAAAAUACUCGCUUUGAUUACCAUCUUCUACGAAAAAUAUUUGGUUACACGUCCUGUUCUUUUCGUCACGUAUGUUAUGUUAAACUCUUCCUUCUUCUUCUUUUUCUUUUUAACGUCUUUUAAAACAUAUUCUUGAUAUUUUAGUGUGGAUCAAAUUAAAAGGAUAUAAUGCACACCGACAUAUUGCUCUUCAUUAUUUAGUAAGUGUCAUCAAUUUUUUAAUAAUACCAUUCCGAUUAUUCCAACUGUUUUCAUUCAUUACCUUACCCAUUGUAAGGUUACACAUUAACAAGACUCAGCCUACAGCAAAACAAAUAUUCCUUAAUAAAACAGAACGGCCAAAGAAAGCGCCAGCGAAUGUCUUCUCAGGGUACUCCUUGGCGGUUAAUCACCGACGUGUCGCGGCGGCGUCGCCGGAGAGAGUGGGGGCGUCGGUUGGGCCACCGCCUCCGCCACGGCCGGGCUUGGGCUGAAGAUGGCCUUGUGUUCCGUAGGCUUGAUUUUUGUAAUCUUCCAAGUCUUCAUAAUUCACGUACGGACUGCUCUCCAACGGAAUUUCCUCUGAUCUCUCCUUUUCCCUUUCGCUUUUCCUGAUCUCCUUGUUUUGUCCCUGCGACUGAUCGGCCUCCCGCUUCUCCAUUUUUCUUCUCGAUCACAAAGUUCAUUUUUUUCCACUAAUUGGGGUUCUGUCUUAUAUUUGAUUUCUUAAGCUCUUGCUUUUAGACACGUAUAAGCUCCACCUGUAUUUUCUUGGUGGUUUUCCUUGAAACGUGUCAUGCAGGAGCUUGCGUGGGCGGUGGACCACUUCAAUCUAGAUCUCAAUUUUUUUUACAAUAACUUAGAACGGUAGUUUUCACUUUUCACUGCGAGUUAAAAUUGUAUUGUUACUCAUUGUAGAAAAGUUAUUAGAUCAAAUAACAAGGUACUGAACAUCUAUUAGGGAUUGGUUUUUUCUUUACCUACUACUUUCUGAAAUUAUGCCAAACACCUUGCCUAAAUAUUACACAAAUGUGUAUAUAUUUAUUUGUCUCGUUGGUUUUCUACUAACGUAAACUAGGUGAUUUAUUUAUGUGUUGGAUGUGGUAUAUUUUCAGUUCUUAAUGAUGUUUAUCCUAGUUUAGUUUUUAAAAUUUCUAUUUUGUUUUUUAAACUUUCAAGUGUAUGAACUUAAAAAUAAAAUAUGUUUUUGGUAUAUGUUGUCAGUAUUCGGUUAACUUUCUUAAAGUACAGUGUUUUAAUUUUUAGUUAGAGAACAUAUGAUAAUUUUAUAUUUAUAGGAGACCUCAAAAACUUACUAUGUCUUCAAGAUUUUGAUCGUUGCAAUUUUGGUGUAUUGACAUUUUAAUUCAUUUUCUCAGUCUAGAUGCAGUUAUAUCCACGUGUGUGAUAAAUGUAUUAGUUAUGUUUCUUCGUUGGUAUAAAAAAUUUAUAAAUUAAAUUAGUAAAAUUUGUUAGUUAUUUAUCUAUUUAACUAAUACUAUAAAUCUAUAUCAUAAUCAUUCAAAUAAAAUAAAUUCAACACUAAAGCAUACAAUUUAAAAAACUUACAUAUCAAAAUAUAACAAAAAUACACAGCUUAAAAGCAAAGGUAGGCUUUAAACCUAUUAAAAAAUGAUGAGUUGCAUUGCAACACUAACCGUUGCUCUCCUCUUCUUUACCAUGUAAACAAUUUUUAAAAAAAUACCACAUGGUAGAUUCUGAUUGGAUGAGUCGUGCAUAAAAGAUGGGUGUAGGAGUUUUUUCCUUUUAGUUUUACAUAUUUGCUUGAAAAUUAUAUAAAAAAAACGAUAACCAAUAUAUUUGAUUGUACAACCAACCAACUGCACCUAAGUUUUCUCCAUUAAUUUUACAUUCUGGCUUGAACAAUUAUUGAAUAAGAAAAAGUACUUGAGUGACUUACGUCUACGUAGUUUAUUCAAAUGUAUUAUAAAUUAUUAUGCAGUAAACUUAGGUGUUUUAAGAGGUAUUUCUUUUACUCAGUGAUUAAAGGGAAUACAUUGAAACAAAUUUAACCCACUCACAUAUUUUUCAUUAAAAACUAUCAAACCAAAUAACUACUAAAUACUAAUUUGACAAAUUGAGUAAUUUCUAUACUUCACAUCCUUAUAGGCCGGAACUAAAACAAGAAAAGUGCCAUUGUCAAACUUGAGUUCAUAACAUAGAAAGAAGUUGAAUGUUAUAGCCCAUGGGCCAACUAAUAUAUCGGCCAUUUGUUGGAAAUUGGUAUGAUAGCAGACUUUAAAAGUUUGAUUUUGGAAAAUGUUAAAAAUAAAUAAAUAAUAUUAAGAAUUAUGGCAAAUUACACUUACUCAAGUGUAGACAGUAGAUUCAUCCCAUAAUAAAAUGUAGAAGCCAGAUUUUUUUUUUCCAAAAAUACUCUCAAAACAUAAUCUUUCACUCAUAUUUUGCUACACUACAUAUUUUGUUUAUAUGAAAAAAAAUAUUUUCUAUACCUAAAUUUAUACAUCUUUUGCUUUCAAGAUCUCUCCCUUUACCGCACAAGUUUCUUUCUAAAAAUUUCUCUCUCUUCUUCACAAGUUUUUCUCUACACUCCUACCUCUCUGUUUUUGGUUUUUCUUCAAUUCACUAUAGCUUUUUCUUGUUUCUUUGGUAAUUUUAUUUCUCUAAUUGAUUUUUUAAUGGACACUCUUGUAGAGCAUUUCCAAGAUCUUGCAAUAUACUUGCCUAUAUUUUCUAUCAGUUUCUAUGGUUUUUUUUUUGGAGGGGAUGGGGGAUUAUUGGAAAUAAUACAUUGUCAGUGGAAAUUUAAAAGCUACUUUUGAUUUCGAUUUUCUUUUUCUUUUUCUUUUUCUUUUUCUUUUUCUUUGUUUGGAGUACUACCUUUGAAAAUGUUGCACUAUUAUUGUUAUUAUUAUCAGCGUUAGCAUGUAUACUUUCCAGCAUAAUAUCCAUUGGAGUGGAAGGGGAGAGAAGCAAAGGGAAAAUAAUUAUGAUUUUGGCGUGACCCCCAUGUGACUCUGUGACAACAUACAGACCCGAUCAAAUUUUUUGUUUAAAAAAAACAAGAAAAAAACUGAGGCACACAACUUCAUUAAUUUAUAAAAGUUAAUAUGUUGUAGAUUUCUUUGAAGACACGUCUCACAAACAAGUUCACAUAAAUAAAUAUCUUCCGUUAGAUAGUACAGAUCAAAUUGAUUGACCGUACCUGUGCACAACUACAUGAAUGUCGCAGUUAAAAGAUUAAAAAAGGUAAUUAUAAAGUAACACCAGGUAAGAUUAGAGAUUAGGAUUAUUCUUCUAAUCUAUUCAUUUUAAAUUCCAAGUACAAUGCAGAAAAUUCGAAUUACAAAAAUUAAAAUAGAAACAGAACGUCAUAGUGUUCCAUGGCAAUUGACAAAGACAAGCAAAUUACGAAUACUGUACACACAAAAAUCGAACCAAAGCAAAGGCAAUUCCCCAUAUUAUUAUCAGUUUUUUCAUUUUCCAUUUCCUUUCCUUUUUCGUAGAGUAGAACAAAAUGUUAAAAAAAAAAAAACACUAAAAUCCAGCUCUAUUUCUCGCUGGAAAUUCCACAAAUAUUACAUUAACUUUCAAUUUUAAGGUCAGAUCGAUGGUACACCCAUCUUCUGGGCCCAUUAGCCAUGAAAAUUCAACAAGACCCAUCUUCUUCAUUGUCCUCUUUCUACGUCCAGCUAAACGCAAUCGGACUUCCCACCACGUGUUUCCCGUCCGACCACUCAAUUCGACCAAACGCUUCUGCACUCGUUGGCGCCGCCGAACUGGUCGUGGUGGUGAAUGUGACUGUGUAAGACUUCUUAUCAUUGGCUCCGGUGAAGCUCAAUGAUUCCGGCUCCACGGAGAUUUUCACUGAUUUGGUCUCCGACGUGAUUGAGACUUUGUAGGUUCCUGGAGAGCCGACGUUUGUGAGUGUUCUAGUGUGCUUUACUACACUGGAACCACUGCCUCCGCCGCCUAAUACGCCUUCAAAGACGACGGCGAAAGAAGGGUAGUUGAGAUCGUUGACACUGUACUUCUUCUUGGAGUCGCAAGUGAAAUCUUUCCUUGCCAGUGAGUUGAUCUGCGAUGGAGUGUAGUUGAGUGCGCAGAGGAAGUUCAGGUAAUCGUCCACCGUUAGAUCGUAAACAAGACCUGGAUUGAGGGCUGAUACGGGAUCCACGUGUCCGGCUCCGUGAUCGAAUGGGGUGGAUGGUUUUCCGGUGGCGAUAUCUUGGAUCUUUUGGCCAUUUUUGUAGGCUGUGUAGGCUGUUGUCAUCAACGCCGAUCGAAUCGCCGCCGGACUCCAAUCGGGAUGAGCACCCUUGAUCAGAGCAGCGAGACCGCUCACAUGGGGGCAGGACAUGGAGGUUCCGGAGAUAAUGUUGAAAUCCACUCGUCUGUCAUCAAUGGCUAAACCACUUGGUCCCACUGAUUUUGACCAUCCAGCUAAGAUGUUGACGCCAGGGGCUAUUAUGUCGGGCUUCAGCAACUGAGGAGUGAUCGAAUUUGGUCCACGGGAACUAAACGCCGCCACAACCGGUGAUGGUUCGAUCCCUAAUUUAGUUCCUUCGAAUAAGAUCGUCACCGUCGGACUCGGGUCCGAAACGAGAUACUUUCGUAUAGUGUCGCCAGAUUUCUGACCCACCGCCGUGGCCGGCAGAAGAUGAGAGUCGGCCACCAACUCUUCUCCAUUUGCUGCGGUAUUGGCCAGCACCAUUCCGAUUCCACCAGCGGCUUUGACGACUGCACCUUUCUGAACCCUAGGGUUUACACCUCGGUCACAGAAAACGACCUUUCCGGCGACCUUUUCAGGGAUCAAAGUACCAGUCAUACACAAAUUUCCAUUACCGGAGUUACUCGCAUUAGCAGCGUAAAUAAAAGGCAACAAUGUUCCCGGCAAUGACUUGCCUCGAUAGAGGGAAACGCCGGAGAAGUUCUUGGCGUCUCCAAGACUGACAUACGCCGGAAAAUCACGAUCUAAUGUUCCAGCGCCGACUGUUGUAAUCCAUGGAGACGUAUUUGACAAACUGAAAGGACUGGGGCCGGCAUUUCCAGCAGAGCAAGAAACGAGGAUGCCUUUCUCCAUGGCAGCAAAGGCUCCGGUGGCCACACUGUCUUUGUAAUAAUCGGAUACUCCACCCCCAAGCGACAUGGAAAGCACGUUAACAUUGUCGUCCACAGCCUUGUCAAUGGCGGCAACGAUAUCAGAGCUGAAACAUCCGCCAGCCCAGCAAACCUUGUAGGCGGCGACUCUCGCACGCGCGGCCAUUCCACGGGCGGUACCCGAGGCAUACCCAAAUAGACUUGCGUUUUCAACUACAGAACCGGCCGCAGUGGAAGCGGUGUGGGUUCCAUGGCCAUCGUCAUCUCUCGGAGAUCUAGAUUCUUUAGAUUCAUCGAUCGGACCCAGAGUUGCCUCAUAGCCCUUAGAGAAAAAUCUAGCUCCAACCAGCUUCCUGUUACAGUUCGACGCACUAAAAUUAGUACCCGAUUCACACUCACCUUUCCAGCUACUCGGAACUGGUCCAAGCCCUGUAUCAUCAAAGCUCUUACUCUCCGGCGAAAUCCCAGUAUCCAAAACUCCAAUGAUAACCUCCGACACGGAGUUGGAUUCAGGGUAAAGAUUCGCAUUCUUGUCAAGCCCAAGAAACUCUGGAGAACGAGUGGUAUGAAGUUCAUAUAUCAUCUCAGGCACCACAGCCAGAAUCCCAGGUUGGGCUUCCAGCCGCUGAGCUUCCUCCGCCGUCAGUCUGGUUGAAAACCCAUGAACCACGUUGUUGUACGCAUAGAUCAUCUCAGCGGAAUCGGACACCGAUCUGAGUGAGGAGUCAUACCAGUGCAAAUGGUGCUCAAAACUCUCGGGCAUUUGGUAUUUAGCCAUAUGCACGAUGUAGGUCUUCUUGUCUCCGACAGCCAUGGACGGCACAGAGAAGAAACAGAGAAGUAAAAACAUCCAAACGGGGUUGGCCAUGAUUUGUGCAAUCAGAAAGAGAGCAUCAAAAUGGAAAAUGAAAGAUGGGAAUGGAGUUGUAUAUAUAAAAAUGGAGAAGGGAAAGUGAAAUAAUAAUGGAGGAAAAAAGGGGGAAAACCAGAGAGAGUGGAAGGUGGUUGUGUUGUUGAGAGAGUGAAUAAUUGUGUGGAGCCAAAACGGAAGAGGAGCUAUCGACAGGUCUGAAGGAACGUGGAAGGGAUAAUGGUAAUGGAAAUGGAGAAGAAGUUACUGCUUUGUUUCAUCACGUGUACAACCACUUUUGCUCUUCUCUCUUCUCGCUUUCCCUCCUACUCUCACCUUUUUAGUUCUCCUACUUAAAUACUUUUCUUUCCUUCCUUACCGUCCAAAACAAAACACUCAAAUUCAAUUCUCAAUUAAUAAAUAAAGGAAAAAAAAAUUAACUUUUUAUCUUAAUUUUAAAAAAUAUGUAAUAAAUACAAGAAAAAGAGAAUUAACCUUUUCAUAUAUGGAGGUUAUAUUCCAAAGGUAAAUUUGGUAAUGCAAUGACAUCGAAAUAUGAUUAUAUUAAAAACUUAUAUAUGGAGAUGGGUUUUAUUUUUGUUCAAUUUAUAAUAUAAAAUUUAUUUCAUUUAGACAUCUUUCAAUUAAGUUUUCUUUUUUAUUGUUUGUACACAAUUAUUAAUAUUUUUAAGGUUUAUCUAAAUUUCAUUCUAACUUUCCAAAUUAAUUUUUUUUCGUUAAAGUACAUUAAAGAUGGUUUUAGUGCAUUGUUUUAUAAUAUAUGUUUUGAUAACUAUUUUAUCCCUAAAAUCUAAACAACAAGUGUAUUUAAUUAUUGAGUUUAGAAAAUGUAUAAUUUUAGUCUUGCAUUUCUAAGAAUAGACAUGAAAUAAUUAUAUGAUAUCUUAAAUUAGAAAAUAUUUUUUUUACCCCAAUUCCUUUUUAAAAUUAUAUUUAUAAUUUUGCAUAAUAUAAUCAUUGGAUUAAAAAUAUUUACGAGAAAAAUUGCAUAUGAUAGCAUUGUGAUAAUAUGAUAUAGCAAUUAUAGCACUUUGUUUUUAGAAUUUUGUAAACAUGGCAAAAUUUUCACUUCUUCAUCUUAAAUUUGAUAUUAUUCUUAAACUACCCUUCAAUAAUUUAUCUAUCUUCUUCUUUUUAAUGUCCUACUCAUUAUUUAUUUAUGCUUCCACUUUUUAUGACCCUAAUUUUUUGUUUAUUUCUAUACUGGACAAAUUAUUUAUUCUUUCUGUCUUAAUCUUAAUUUUAAAAUAUCAAUAGUACAUUAAUUAUAAUAUGAAAUAUAAUAUAAUGGUUGUUGAUCAUAGUAAUUUAACUUUAUUUGUGAUUUUUUUUUACUUUCUUCGAUGUGUAUUUUGAGUUGAAUUUGAUUCCAAAUGGUUUUGUUUUAUUUUUUUACAUUGAUUAUUUUGUUUUACUUUGUCUCGGUGUUGUGAUAUACUUAUAUUAUAUGUAUUAGUUGUUUAAUAUACCUACUAUGUGAUUUUCAUUUUUUUCAACUUUUAUGCACUUCAUUAUAGUAUUAUUAAAUAUAUUAAUGAUGUAACUCAAUGUAUCAUUAUCAAGUAUAUGAAUCAAGUUUACAAGUGUAUAUCAAUAGUAUAUCAAGUGUAUAUGUAGGACUUCAAGCAUAUCAAGUGUAUUUAAUCAAUUAAUUGUAUAAGUGAACAAUACUAAAUGUAUAUGCAGUGUAUCAGGUGUAUCAAACACAUAUUAGUAUGUUUUGGUAUCGAGUGUAUCAAAGAGUAUUAGGUGCAUCAAGUGUAUCAAUUAAAUGUAUCGGGUGUAUUAGGCGUCUCAGACUAUCAAACGUAUAUUAGUAACGAGGGUAUUUGUGACAUUUUACAUCUUGAUGUGUGGGCUUGACCGCAUUUUUGUCAUUUUCGCAAAUAAUAAAAUGUGUGUGUUAUGAACUUAAUUAUUACAACUUAUUUUGUUAUUUUUGCGAGUGCUCCUAUUUACAAAUAUAACCAAAUUUAUUAAAGUCUAUCAAUGAUGAAAAUAUUAAUCUAUCACUAAUAAACCAUAAAAAUCUAUCAACAUAAUUUUAUCACCUAUAGAUUUUGUUAUAUUUGUAAUUUUUUAAAAAUAUUGUUAUAUUUUUAAUUAUUAUUCCUAAAAUUUAUCCAAAUUACAAUUAUCCUUUAAUUAUAGGAAAAUUUUCAAAAACAGCAAAUUUUAUAAAACAUUUACAACCUAUAUAAAACAUUUACAACCUAUAGCAAAUUCUACCACCGAUAUUCAUUGAUAUGCUAUAAUGAUAGAAGACUAUCAUUGAUAGAAUCCAAAAUUUUGCUAUAACUUGUAAAUAUUUUAAUUUAUUUGACUAUUUUUAAAAACAUCCCUUAAUUAUAUUGGGUAACUAUUUAAAUUAUUUAUAAAAAAUUAAUAUUUCAAUUAAUUUUAAGACUAAAAAGUUACAUUUAGAUUUAUCUAAUUUGUGAACCACGAGUGCUCAACUAGUUUCCUCAAAAUAGAACUUGUCUACAUGCUACAUCCAACCCUGCCAUGUUUGAUCUCAUGUAACAAAAAAAUGGGAAAAUCCUGAAGUAUCCUGUUGUAAUUAUAACAUUUGUUCAUGCUAUUGUUUUAACGUUUAUAGAAAAUUAUUUAAUAAUAUUAAGCCCCACAUGAUUAUUAAGAGAAAAAAAAAAGGGUGUAACAAUAGACCAGUAGGACUAUUUAUUCCAUAGUGUAGAAGCAUUAAGUGUGUUUUAUUCAUCUCACACGAACUUGAUUCAAGGGCAAUUGGCAAGGAGAUCCAAACAUAUAUGCUCCAAUAUUUUGUUAUACUAUACCAUAUAUAACAUGUUAUAAUUUUUUUUUCUUGAUUAUUCAUGUUGUAGUUUGACAUACAAUUGAACUCAUGUGCCUGCUUUCAUACAAUCACCAUUUUCAGACAACAUGCUGUUAUUAUCACUAAUACUCUUUAGUACUAGAAAAGUUAUUAGUAUAAGGUGGAUCCUUUAUAAUCAAUACACAUAAUUAAUCAUGUUUAAAUGUUGUUCAGCCGGACCUUUAACUUCUUAUUAGGAUUUAAAAUGAGGUUGAUGCAGUGUGAAUAUGACGAAGGAACUGAAGGAGCACUCGUGCUGUCAUGAUAACGUGACUUUUAAUUCUCUUUUUUUCCUUUGGUUUUAUUUGUUAAGUAAAUGCAUUAGUCGGUUUAGUUAGAACUUAGCUGGGUGUGUGCUAUGUACAGUGUCUCUAUUAAAAGAGGUUUUGAUGAGUUCGUAUGCAUGUCAUACUAUUUUAUGAUCUAUUUUGUCUGUUUCUUUGAUUCAUCCACUUUUCACUUAGCAACAAAUUGUUAAAAGUUGUCCCAUAAAAUAUAUAUGCAUAUAUACACACAUCAUAAUGGAAUACUAAUUACAUGGAUGAAGUCACGUAUAUAUCCAAUAUACAAUUAAGAUUUUAAAGCAAAAACAGGAACAUAUGUUGUAUAAUCUGUAAUGGUUUUUUUUUUUUAAAUAAAAAUAAAGACGAGAGUGUAUAUUAAGUAAAAAUUCAAACUAAUUUUGUUAUUAUUUUUAAAAUUAAUCUAUUACCGGAGAAUUAAUUUAAAUUACUCACUAGAUUUUCAUUUUAAAAUUAUAAUACACACCUCUCACACAUCUACAAGACUCCCUUACGGUGAACGUAAAUGAAGAAUAAAUACAAUAAGCUAAAACACAUGGUAGUAACUAUUCCUUAAAUUUAAUCCAAUCAGUCAUCUUUUAGAAAACUGGGUUUUUUGUACAUGAUUUUGGGAUGAUUUAAAUAAAAUCCAAGUAAAAAUAGUUAUAAAAGGUAUCACGUUUAAAGUUAGUUCAAUUUUAAUUUUCAUAUUUUCAUUGGUUUAGAUUCACUAAAUAUUAAAUGUAUGGGUAUUUUUGCUUUCCCCCUUCAAACAUAUUGACAGAUUAUGUCUGAUUUCUAUAAAUUAUUAUUAUUAUUUAAUUCAUCCAUAAAAAAUAAAUUUAAAGAUUAGUUCUAAAAAUAUAGAGUCGGAAAGGAUAAGAUAAAAAAAUUAGAAAUACAUUUAACAAAAAGAAACUAAAUUAAUAAAAGAAAGGAAGGAAGAGUAAAUAAAGCGUGGCUGGUUCACGGGUAUGUGUCAGCGGUGUCUAGUAGCGAAGGGAUAGUGUUUCCAUUUGGUUGGUGAGGCUUUGAGCAAACACGGAAACCUAUUCCAUAUUUUCUACUUCCAAAUAAGAGGCCAAAUUUCAAUCUCUCUUUUUCCCCUAAAUUGUCUAUUUAUGACUCUAUUAUUAUUUCCCAUAGCAAAUAGCAUACUCACACCACCCCCACCCCCACCCCCACCCCAACUCCACUCCCUCUUUAUCAUUUACGAUACCGGUUUAAAAUGCUGUUCAUUACUGGGACCUCCUUGUCCUCCAUUUUCGGUUCUUUAUUUAUCAUUAUUACCCUUAAUUAUUAUUAUUAUUGUCAUCAUCAAAUCUCAACACACCUAUUAAUAAUAAUAAAACCUAUAUUUCAAUAAUAGAUUAGGGUCAAACACCCAAUUAAUUGCUUCGUCGUACACGCUAUUCCUUCUUAAUAACAUUUCUGUACUUUCCUAUUUCUACACAUCGGAUAAUAUUGUGCAAAUGUCAUUUUACAUUGGAUUUAUUUACUUCACUUUUUAUCUCUUUUCAUGCCACAUUUCUGUCAGAUGCAUUCAUCAGUCUAAUCUUUCAUUCGAUAGUAUAUGUACUGCCCAUGCAAUAAUUUUUUUAAAAAAUAUUUUUACAAUGGGUAGGUAAGGAGACGAUUGAUAAAUGUAUAAAUGAGACAAAUUAAUUAACAAGGUAUAUAUUUAAAAUGAACAGUAUUAAAUUAUUCUGAAGAUACUCAAAGAGUUCAAUGUUCUAACAACAUGUACUAAACUAGGUUUUGAUGUUUAAACUAAUACAUAAAAUAUAUGAUAUAUAGAAUCAAGUAUGGUGGAGUAUAUCUUUUUACGAACCUUGUAGUUUUUUAUUUAACUACACUACUCUUAUUUGAUAAUGUAUUGAUAUCUGUAAGUACUCUAUUGUUAUAAGAAAAUGUCAGAGUUUGUGUGUCAUCCAAAUGAUUCGUUUAAUUUAGAGUAUUAUUAUCUUUCUUAUUGUUCACUCACUACUCAACUCAAUAUCACAUAUCAACAAAUUUAAUAUAGGUUAACGAAUGAGACUUGAUAUAUAUAUAUAUAUAUAAAUAUAUAACUGAAAUAAUUUCAAUCCUAGUAACUAAUCUAGCGGUAGGAGUUGUCUUGUAGCUCAUUUUAGUUUUAGGUUCCAUUCUCAUUUCUUACAUUUUUUUAAAACCAUAAUCUACACCAUAUAUGCGUAUUUUUUAUAAUACAAACUAAAGUAAUCUACAUUUCAAACACAAACUAUUGUAAUUCAACUAUAACAACUCACUCCUCAUCAUAAACAUCAUUCUACUCAUUUUAUUAUAAUCCACAAACAGGUCAAUUUCAACUUCUAGGCUUGAAAGUAAAUAAUUGUAUAAAUCCAAAUUUAGUUGUCUCCUUGUCACACCUAAUAAAUAUGUACACAUACAAACUAUGCACCGUGGGCCACAUAACUCAAGAAUGUUGAAAAUUAAAAGGAUGAGCCAAUGAUCCACUACUAUUAAUGAUGAUUAGAGAUUAUUAAUCAUGUGUCUCGUAUGAAAAGGCAAAAAGCUCAUGCGAGUUUGUCAACUUUUGAAUUAGCCCUAAAAAUCAUUUCACAAAAAAGGGGCAUAACCUGCCAAUUCAUUCAAUUUGAAGGAGUUUUGGUAAAUUUUCUUUCCCUUUUAUAGGGGAAGGUAUGGGAUCUGAUCUUCACACUGAUAUUCUAGACCAAAUUGAAGAUUGAGCUACAUUCUCAACUUAAUUGAGGUUAUUGGAAAUCAUAUUGAUUUGCUUUGUUUGAUUAUCUUAAUUGUUUGAAGUCUAUUGAAGCAUUUCUCUGCUACCUAGGCCGUAUUAAUCUUCAUUAUCCAAUGUUAUCAACCUAUCAUAACUAAUCUCUUACAACAUUUGACAUUGUUUUGCAUUGUCAUUCAAUUACAGUUAAUACUGUUUCAAGAUCUUAAAUCAUUGUAAUAUCAACUGAUUGCUAUCAUUUUUAUUAUUUUACAUUGUUUUUCUAAUUAAAGUGUUUAUUAAUUUUGUAUAAAACUAAAAUAAUUUACCUCUCAAAUACCUAUAAUCAAAACCAAAAUAUUAUACAUCCAAAUGUCAAACUAUCAUAAUCAAUUAUAAUAAAAUGUGUCGAUAAUAACCAACUUUUUGUUCCAAAGGUGUUUUGGACUCAAAUUUAUUAUAUGUUAAAAGCUACUUUUUUUCACAAAAAUGUUUCUUUUCUGGACUAAUAUUUACAUUUCUCAAUCUUUUAACUUGAGCUAAACAUCAUUUUUAGAGAUUUAUUUAUUUAUUGGUAAGUAUUCAAUUUUAAAAUAAAUUAAAACAUUUAACAACCAACUUAAAAAUUUGUUCUUUUGUUCUUUCGAAUCAAUCUUUAGCCCUAAUUUAUUCACCAUUCCAAACGAUGGUACCAAACAAAAUAACACCUACUCCUUUAUACAUAUGUGUAAUUAAAAAAGAAAAAGGUAAAUGAAUACCUAGAAAAUGUAAAUGCUUGAAUUUAUUGGAAAAUAAAAGGUGGGUCCAUGGAUCACGUGCAUCCUUUGAAGGGCGAGAUUGGAUUUUGUUGCAAACUUCGAAGGGGUUAAACAACGACGUCAUUACUUUGGCCACGGGUUAUUUUUCAAUACUAUAGCAUUAGGUAAAUAUCUUGUUUACAUCCCUACCCAAAAAAUAAAAAAACAAUUAAAAUAAUAUAUAUAUAUAUAUAUAUAUAUAAUAGUAUACGUCUGUCAAAAGUUAAUGUAAGAAAAUAAUUUAAUUUAAUUAGUCUUUUUUCUUUAAUGCAAAUUUAUGAGUUUUUAUUCACGGUGCCUUUUAGGUAGGAAGAUAGUAGCCUUCUGGCUUAAGACUGGAUUAGAUUUUGAUGGAAUAAAAAUUCAAGUCAGUGAUGGAGUUAUAAAUUUGGAUUUCUUUUCUUCCAUCUCCAUCCUUUUCUUAAAUCGAUUUGUUGAAUUCGUUUUCUUUUCCACAAUCAAUUCUGUUCUUCUUCCACUUAAUUUACAAUUUUCUUUCUCGAGAAUCACGGAGACUGAGGACCGAGAAAAUUUGUGACCAUAGAAAAACUUAUUGAGAAGUGUAAUAAACUAUAAGCCAAAGUAAGUGAUGUCACGCCAGGUUGGGUGGCAUUAAACAAAAUGUCGAAAUUCAUUAAUUCCAUUUUUCAUUUUGAACCAUGCAGUGCAAAGGGGCUUCGCUUUGGUACAAAAAUUCCAACAUAAUUGGGUAUGGUUUGGGUGUGUGGUGGAAGAAAUUAAGAAGUUGGUAUCUACUAUCUACACCUACACGUCGCUUUUGAUAAGACGAACUUCAUCAAGAGUUGCGUUUGUGUGUUUCUGAAGUGGAAAUGCAAAACCAAAUUUGGGAUCUGUGUGUUUUGUUUGUGCUUUUGGACCCUUUUCUUUUCUUUUCUCUUUUGGCAUCUUUCUUGUUUUUUUUUUUCUAUGGUUGCCGUAACCGCAUCAAUCUGCUUUCACAUUUUUUCUCACCUUCCAAUCGUUUUUCUAUUAUAUCAUUUAUUUCUAUAUUUUCAUUUAAAAAGAAAACACAUGUUGUUCAAAUAUACUUUCAUACUCUUCAAGAAAAGUUCCAUAGUUUUGUUUUAAUAGUAAUUUAAAAACACUUGCAAUGACUUCUGAAAUAUUUUAUAGUUUUUCAAUGUCAUUAUAUUCUUAAAGCCUUAUAUCUAAUAGAAUUUGAAUGCUUUUCAUACCAAGCCCAUACUUAUCUUUUAUGUUCACUCACAACUUAAUUUACUAACUUUUCUAUAUAGAUUUUGAUUCUUGGCUACGCGUAAAAGAUGUAAGGGGAAGACAAGUGAGGAAGGAGACUAGAAUUUGUUCGUGGAAAGUGAUUUUAUCGUGACUUAAAAUAAAUAUAAAUAUAUAAAGUUAAAUCAUGAGUGAUGAAUUUGAAUACAUAACUAGAGAUUAAUAUUUGAUCUUUAGAAAUGAAAGUUAUUACAUGUAGAUUUUAAAAAUAAAAAUAAAUAAUAAAAGAAAGAAAUUGAAGUGAAAACGAGACUCGUCAACCUUCGAAUCUAUAUCAGUUUAUGUUAUUAUAAACAAAUGUACCUAAUCUCAUACUCCAUUCUUCAUAUUUAACUAAGAAAAGAUAAAAAAUAUAUAAGUUUAAUAUUUAUCAUACAUAAAUCAAAUAUUUAAUAUUUAUAGAUAAUGUAGUAAUUUUAAAUUUAUUAUUGAUUAUGUGAAAAGCAACGGUAUAAAAUUGUAAAAAUAAGAACAAGAAAAAACAAAAAAAAAACGGGAAAGUUAAAAAAAUAAAGUUAAUGGGGUGAAUAAGUGGUUGUGGGAUCGAGAAGUCCCACCGCCUUUGGGCUACUCCCAACCUUCUCUUUCGGCCCACCAACAAUUGUUAUUGUUGUAUUAAAUAGUCAUGGAAAAAUAGGAGUUCUAUCAAUUAUGUUGUUAUCAACGAUGUAAGUCUACCACCUAUCAACUUUACAGAUUGAAUAACUUUGUCUUCAGUGAAAUUUUACAUUUUCUUUGAAUCAAAAGGUUAAAAGAAAGUUGUGAUAUAUUUGCACUUGGAUAAAAAAUAUGACCUUUACACAAGCAAUCUAUCACUUCUAUUACAUAUAAAAAGUGAAGUUUAUCACUAGUUGAUAGAUUUCAAUAUCUUAAAAUUUCAUACCUCAAGCAUUUUUUUUUUUAUAAUUAAUCGGUCUUUUAAAAUAUCUUAUAUGGAUUUUGCUAUAUUAUGUUAUACAUUUUACUUAUUUUGCUAUAUAUAUAUUUAUAUGAAAGGAGUCCUGAUCAAAAUUGACAUGUAAAGAGAGAAAAAAAAUAGUCUACAACCAAGUUUUAUCAUGACACUUGAAACAAAGUAAAUCUUAGUUCAUAUAUUAGCGCAACUCAUGUACUGACAUUUUUUUUUUUUGGCAAAAGUACGUUUUCUUUAAUUUGUAAAAGAUAAACUGUAUUGUUUUAAUUAAAAUAAUGCGACAUAUAUAUGUGUAGUGUGGUGUGAAGAUCUAUAAUAUAAAAUACUGCACUUAUGCAUUAAAAAAUGUAAAUUUGAUUUCGUUGAAAAAAUUGUAUUCUUUCAUUACUAAAUUGAUCUAAAAACUAAAAUGGGUGAAUAAAGACCAUCAAUAUUAUAUCACUCAACACGUCUUUUACUUGGUGUAUAAAUAAGUCUACAAGUUUAAAUCAAUUUUUAUUUAUAAAUAAAUAAUAUUAUAAAAAUAUUUAUAUGAUAUAAUCUUAAAUAAUGAAUAAGCUAACAAGUUUAAAUAAAUGGAUAAAGACAAAUUUAAUAUUACAUCACUCAACAAUUUCGACAAUAAUAACAUUUUCGUAAUUAUUAACAAUAUAAUCAUAAAAAUAGUUUAAACAAAUAUCAAUUUAUACUUCGAACUAUGGAAUUAUAUUCAUUUAAAAUAUAUCGAACUCCAAACUCAAGUAAAUAUAUCAAAUUAAACUCUCACAUUUCUUAAUCUAUUCAGAUAAAAUAUAAAAAACACAAUGGAGAGUUUACAUGGAUACCAUUCGAUUGAUGCAAUUCCAUAAGUUCAAAGUUUAUAUCCGAAUUGAUACAAUUGUGAAUUUUACAGGUUAAAUUGGUGAAAUGAUUAGUUUAUAAUAUAAAUUGAUACACCUCAUAUCAUUUAUGAUUUCUCUAUUUUUUUUAAAAAAAGUUUAUGAAAGUCGAGAAAAGAACCUCGAGGGAGAAGAAAAGCCAAGCGGUUGGGUUUGGUUCAUUUGAAGCGGUUUAGUUUACUUUUCCCUCGUAGGCGAGUGUGCCGAUGCGCGCCACGGCAGUGAUCCCUGAUCACAGCAUGGGCCAUCCAUUGCAAGCACAAGCACAUACAAUUCACGAUGUGAUUGCGACUAUUUUUUAGUGCGUCUCGACACUUGAAUCGGAAUGAAGCUGGAAUUGUUUACUUCGGUCGACGGAAUGUGCCGCCGGCGGGCACUCUCUCUUGUUUCAGUUCUACAAAAUCGAGGUAAGUCAAGCUCUUAUCGCCUAGUAUUAUGUUAUUCGAGCUCUGGAAUUCGGCUGUUCACUUGCGGCAGUGACUCCGACUCAGCUCGAUCUGAGUUUUCUGGAGAGAACGCAUACGAAAUUCUGGAAGUUUCACAGACCAGCUCCAGUGAUGAAAUCAAAGCUUCUUUUCGCAAAUUGGCAAAGGAAACUCACCCGGACCUUGCUGAGUCGAGAAAGGAUUCCUCCGCUUCCUUGCGUUUUGUGCAAAUCCUUGCCGCCUAUGAGGUGCUUAUGUUCAAUACUCUUCUUCUCUAAUUCUGACUUUAUUUCAAUUGAUAAACUGACGUGAUAUCAAUGCUAAUACUAUAAACAUGUAAAGCCAAUUUAAGCAAUUAAAAUCUGGUUCACUUGUUAAUUGAAUGUAAUUUAAUUGUAGAUUUUAUUAUAACCAUCUGUUUAUAUUUCAACCUAAAAUUUAUUUUUCGCAAAGAUUUAGAUGUAGGCGAAACUGGAAUAGAAAAUCAUCUGAGUUCGAAUCGAAAUGGCAUUAAUAAUAGAAGGUAAUAAUUAAGUUAGGAAUUUUGAUGGUAAGGCUAAAUAUUGGAUUUCCAAGAACAAUUUUUCUCCAAAGUCAUGCAUGGGACCUGAACUUCACUGUGGCAUUUCUCGUUCAUAGAGAUUUGUAGUUAGUUCACUAACAUGUGCAACAAUCUUCCUUCUGCUACCUCGGUUAUGUUUGAGGCCUUACGUUUUCAAUACAUGUGCGCAAGACAUGUUAGUAUCUGCAUGUGUUCUAAAGUGUAGUACUGCUUCUAUGGUCCACUACACAAUUAGCAAGUGUAAAAACUGGUUAAUAGUAAUGUUUAGUCUUUUUGUUUGCUUUGUGAUAUACAGGAUAAUCUGACAUUGAAGCAUAAUCCAUGAUGGAUUGCAGAUCCUUUCUGAUUCAGAGAAGAGGGCACACUAUGACAGUUUUCUUAUAGCUCAGAGAAGGUUAAUUAAAAAACGCAGUAGCUAUGGGUCAAUAUCAAACGUAUGUAAACCAAAUCAGACAACCUUCAAACAGAUGGAAGUUGUUGAAUGGUUGAAGUCCUAUAGAAUUUUCAUUAACGGGAUAUUAUCAGAAAGGAAAGUUGUUGCGGGUACAGGCUAUUUUGAUGUUCUUGAGAGGGAUUUCUACUCAGCCAUGCAUAUUGCUUUUUAUGGUCCUACGAUUGAAUCUAUGGAGCUUCUUCCUGAUUGUUUUGAAGCUGAGGAGAGGUCAACUUAUGAAACUUCUGAGAUAUUGCACUUAGUUUCAGGACGUGAUCUUUUUGGGAUGGUCUGUUUUGCUGCGGAGGUGCCUAAGGUGGCUUCUGCCACCAGUGGAAAAUCUAUUUCUUCAACUUCUAGGUGUCUACACAUUACUGAAACCAUUGAAAAUGCUCGCAGCUGCGUGAAAUUGACAAGAGAGGAAGAAUACGAACUUCCUCGGGCCUCAAUGGUUUAUGAAUUAGAUGCAUACAAAGAUUUGGAGUUGCAUAUUUGUGGAAAAGUAAUUGCUUGGGCUUCUAGACUUCCUCCAAAGUUUCACAGGGAGAGCACGGAGGAUAAAAACAAUCAAGACCAAAUACAUGUCUUUCUUAGUUCCAAUGAUGAACUCAUACAUAAUAGUGUUGGAUAUUCUGUAGAUUUCUCUUCUGGGGAUGCUGCUGAAACAAGGAUCCCCCUGGGAACUAUUGUUGGUCUGGGUACAACUGAAGAAGAAGAAUCCUGCUCCGUCUACAAUAAAUGUGGCACAAAAACACAUGUGAUAAUGAAACAUCGAACAUUAAUGGUUUGUAUAGUCUUUAAGCAACCACUAUUAUUUGCUUCACAUCUGUCAACAUUAAUUAUUGUUACUUCAAAUGCUAUAUUUUUCUUUAAUUUGUUCAUUUGUCUACUUGUUUUCUAUUUAUGAUAUGUCUUGCGUCUUAUUGAAGCCAAGGAUCAUCUAGGUGUUUACAUAGUCCCUAUUGCAUGGCCUUGAAGUUACUGAAUUAAUAUUGACAUUUUUUAUUGCUAGCAUUAUUACUAUUUUUGCACCUUUUUAUUGGUCUUUUUUUUUUUAUAUCUUUCAUUAUUAUUAUUUUUCUACAUUUGUUCCUUUGGUAAAGGCUUCCACCAAAUGGCUUUGGUGUUCAAAAACCUCGGAUCACUUUUGUGGAUCUUGAAUACUCAGCAAGUUUACGGACCUACAAAACGUAGAAUGAAAUAGUGGAGAUGAUACACUGGAGAGAUGAAAAAAACAAACAGUUUUAUUCUCUUUUCAUUUUUGUACUUGAAGACAUUCUUGACGUUGAUAAUGAAAAAACCUUCUCAGGUGCAUGAUUGGUAUUUUUCUGUUUGACUUCAAUAUCUUUAUAUUGCCGACUGGGACACUAUGGUAGAGUGCAUUUGUUUACACAUGUGAUUGUGCUUUAGUACAGAUGCAUAUUUUACAAACAGUAAAUAAUUUUCAAUGUUGUGAUGAGAAACCCUUUUACAUAGAAUGAAGAGAGAAUAAGAUAUAAGAGUAUGGUCUUUCUCCAUCCAUUUAAACAACACAAUGCAAUGUCAUAAUGAUGCUAUGGAGAAAAUAGACGUUGCAAAAAGGUAUGUUGCACGACUUGUUCACAAUCAACAUAUUGCUGUCUCAAUGAAAACCGAAUUUGUGCUUGAUUAUCCUCCGUAAAUUAAAUAGUUCGUUUAUGUCUUUGAUAUAUGUAUACUGAUUCCUAAUUUUACAGGUGAAACACAUGCACUGGUAUAGUACAAGAGAAAAUGUUUCUGUCUGUGAGUGUAGAUGCAGUCGAGCACGUUUACCACCAAGCAAGUGAGUUCUGCAUCUUCAGAAUUUUAUUGAUUGAUGUACCCAUGUUUAGUGUUGCUAUAAUGCUAUUAGUUCUUGGCCCUUCUACUGGCAGUUGGCUAAGUAAAAAUUGCUCUCUUUCUUUCUACUAUAAUAACAUUGUAGUUGUCUGAUAGUUUUACAUGGAUGCUUUUGACUGUAAUGCAAGAUUAGAACUCUUUGUAGGAAGCAGGGAGAUCAAGGCUUGUUGUCACUCACCUGGCCAAUUUUAAUUGAGACACUAAACAAUAAAUGCACGAUUGGAAAUAGGAUUUGUGAUUUUUUAAUAAAAAGUAAAUGAUUUAUAUGGGGAACAAGUUGUAGCUGUCAAUUAUCACGAGCAAGAUUAAGUGUAUGUUAAUUAACAACAUGAUGGGACCAUAGUUCUCAAAAGGAUAGAAGUCCUUGUAAAGUAUUACUUAUGGUCUGGACGCCUUGAUUUGGAUUCUUUGUUUUUCCCUUCAGAAAGAAGGAAAUAUAUUUUUUUAACGGGAAGACACCUUGGUUUACUGAAAGGAACCACAUCAUGGAUUCUUUGAUCUCUAUAGUUGGACCACUUAGCAUCUCCAACUCAGUGGCUUGGCUUCCAUAUUUUCUAUGUGGAUGCAUCACCCGAUACUUCUAGGUUCUUGGUGGUAGGUCGUAGGUGUGUCAAAGGAGUCACUGUUUAGGUUACUAAAAGCUUGGCUCUUUUUGGAAUUUUCAUGAAACUGGAAUGGGUGUAGAUAGAAAUAAUACAUAUAACUUGUGACUUUUUUCCAAUAGAAAGUGAAGGCGGUAUAUUUGGAAUCACGUUAAGGAUAAACUCUCAGGCCAAGCAUGAUUAUUGUUGUCAGAACCAACUGAACUAUAAUGAUAUUGAGAUAUGAUGGUAAAUAACAUUAAUAUAAACAAAGUAAUUUGAGGUACUUGGACUCUCCCUCUUUUGAGAUCACUUGAGCCCUAAAUCAACUGAAUUAAUGCCCGAUCACCUAACAAGUUUUCUAUCUAACUACUAUUAUGCCCUCAAUAUCCUAAUUCUAUCUAAUACCAUUUUUAUCAGUAGAGUUGAGGGGCAGUCAUUUGCCUAAAUCCCUACGGGAAAAGGGGCGGCUCAGCCCUACGACAUUGAACAUAACGUUCAUCUCUCUCAAUAUCCCUAGUAGUUAUAUAUGAUCAGGGUUAGAAACAGCUUGCACCUUGCCAUUUCUGUGCAUGAUAUGACAAGAAGAUUGGUAGAUUAGAAAUGAUGAUCUCGACAACUUGGUAUACCUCUUCUCAUGAUUGCUAUUCUUAUGACUAACAUCUAAACUCUUCUAUCUUAUAGGUUUUGGCUAUUUGAGCCUCGCUGUGGCAUGCAUGACACAGGGGGCUGGUAUGUAGAAACAUUUGGUAAAAAUAAGAAAGGCCGAACAGUCCCAUCACAAAGAUUUUGGGAUGGUUUUGAUUAUCAAGAGCAUCAAGAGUAAGUUCAUAUCGGGUAUACUAAUAAAGAUUCUAUUUACUCAAAUUGACUUGAUAGGAUAAUCAAGAGUAUCUUGAUUUUUAUUGAAUAUCAUAUUCCACUUUCUUUCAAGUUUGUUCAGGAUAAAAAACUUGUUAGGUUAAUUUUUUUUAAUCUUCGAAUCUCUUCAAGCUGGUGGUGUAAUUACUGGAUAAUUCUUUUGGUCAAUUGCCUUCCAUUACUAUCAGCUCUUAAAUCUAUAAUUGUGCAUUUUUAUGUCUAGAUUCGAUUUCAAAAUAAAAUUCCAAACUCCUAUUUUAAAGCAUUUUUCCUAAGAUGUGUUUGCUCCGACUUUUGAGCAUUUGUUCAAUUUUUUUUUUUUUAAUUUUGUCUACAUUACUGCAAGCUAAGUUAUCUACCGUCUGUGCAGGCGGCUUCAUCCAGCAAUGUAUCUAAUUGCUCUUGCAUACAGAACUCUUGAUAUCCAAGAUGCAAGGAUGAUGAGGAAACAAAGAAUCAGGGAUACUAUUAAGGGCCAACUUUUCAGGUUCCUCAAUUGGUCCAAGAAACUUAUUUAGAUAGAACAUUGGUCCUCUUGAUGUCAAAUAUGCUUCAAUUAUCAGGCGUGAUAAAUGCUACAGAAUCAUUAAUAGGCGUGAUAAAUGCAACAGCAAGAUGGUCGGUUCUUCCAUUACCAAGCACGGGUAAAGACCUCGUAUGGUAUGAGCCAAUCAUCAUUAGCAUUAUAGUAUGGUCGAGAACAACUUUUUGGAAGUACUUUCAACAAUGGCCAAACAUCAUGUACAAUCAUCUUUGAAGUACUUUAAUUGUCUGUAUGGGUUAUAGUUAUAGCAUAUUGUAAAAAAAAUCGUCAAGAUUCCAAUUUCUAAACACAAGGACUAGUUCUUGAAGAGGGAUAUCACCCGCAGACUCUAAAUAAUUUAGGUUUCAAUUGAUAUCAACUAGAUUCUUUAUUUUUUAAUUUUGGAAGUCGGACUUAUAGAAUCUACUUUUGUCGGUGGUUUCUUUGUUUUGUCUAUGAUUUAAGAUCUAGAGUUCUAAACAAAUUAUAUACGGGGGACAAUUUGUUUGAAGAAUGCCUUCAGCUUUUUUUUUUUUUUCCCAAUAAAGAGCUGGAAACAGACACUAAAUAGUCAUAGAGUAUUUUGUACAAAAUUGUAAAUGAAUCAAACUAAAGUCUAUACUAGAAAAUUAAUUGUUUCUUAUUAAAUUUUAUGGAUAAAAAGUGUUUUUUUAAAAAUCAAAUCGUAUACAACCUUAUAAAUAAAGUCUACAUACAUUUUUUUGUCUAUUUAUAGGUUAAAAAGUCAUUUUGGUCUGAUCGAAAAUUUAAUGAUAGACAAAUUGUCCAAGCUGAAUUGGUUAGGUAUAUUUGUUUGAAUAAAUGGUCUACGAGUUUUCAUUUUUUAAUCUAAAUGUGGGUGGACUAAAAGAAAUGGAUAAAGAAAAAAAAAAGUGCAGCCUAUCUAUUUACUAUUUAUAAUUUCCUAAUAUGCUUGACAGAUUGAUAAUUCUGUUUGUUUCUUUUAAUUUAAACUUACACCUUAGUUUUUGUAAUUAAUAUAUCUAAAAAUUGAGUUGUAUAGACGUCUCGACUUCAAAUCAAUAUUGACACUCAAUAUUUGUGACCGACUUGCACAUAACAGAAGAACUUAGGUAUUUGCUUCACUAAUUAAUGAAGAAAAAAUAAAUUCAAUUUUAUAUUUUACAGAAAAUACAACAUAGUUAAAAAAAUCACAAUCAAGUAAGUAAGAAAGCAAUCGAUAUUUAGGCUCCAUUUGAUAAAAUAAAUUUUUUAAUUUUUAAAAAUUACAAUACUUGUGGUUUGCUUUUAUAUUUCUUAUACAAGUAAGUCUUUUAAAACAUGAAAUUAAAUUUAUGGAAGCGAUUUAGAAAAUUAUAAAAAUAUGAAAACCUAAGGAGGAUUAAUUAAUAAAAUUUAAUAUUUGGGGAGCAGUGCAAGUGCAUGAAGUGGCGGCAACGGCAAGUGCAUUCCCGCCCUGUCACACAAACAAAACCUCCGAAAACUGAAAAGACUUUUUUAACCUUCGUUAUGUUGACUGAGCGACAAGACACGAAAUGAGUCCAAGUUAACAAAACGCUUCGGAACUCGGUAAAUAGGAGGAGCAAAUAAGGAAGAGAUCGGUGAUUGCAUCAAAGGAAAGAAGCAUGAAAGGCAAAAGCGGAAGAAGUAAUUGGAGCUUGAGAUCGAAGCUAGGUUUGCCCGCACUAAUCUUCGUUUUAUGCCUUUUUUGUUUCCUCGCCGGAUUCUUCGGUUCUACUCUUCUCUCUCAGGUUGAUCCGUGUGCUUCAAGUUUCCAAUCACCGUUAGAUUUCGUUGCUUCAAUGCUUAUACUGUAAUUUUCGGAUUAUCUCAUUGUUAUCGGACGAUUGAACAGGAUGUAGAUGACGAUAGGCCGAGGGCGAGGUUGCUUCAAUCGGCAAGCGAUGUUACGGAGUUUGAUUUGAUGUCUUCGGGAGAAAACGGCGACGAUUCCAUUUCUUCGAUUCCUUUUCAGGUGCUCUCCGUUUCGUUUUAAUUAUUAAUUACAUCUGGUAUGUUAGUUUCACCGCAUUGUCAAACAGACUAAGUUGUUUUUUAAGGAUUGCAUGCAUUUGUGCGAACAUCAUUUAUCGACGGAUGAACCUUGCAACUCAUCAUUCGAUCUUCAGUGAUCAUGAUUUGUUGUUUAGAUUAUUGCACGUCUAAUUUAAAGUUUCCUUUAAUGGAGGUUUUGAGCUGGCGACCUCGCGCACUUUAUUUCCCCAAGUUUGCAACUGCGGAGCAAUGUCAGAGUAUAGUUAAUUUGGCGAAACCGAAGCUUAGGCCGUCUACAUUGGCUCUACGUAAGGGAGAAACCGCAGAGAGCACGAAAGGAGUCCGAACAAGGUAUCUUCUGUCUGUCUGUCUGUAUUGGCACUUAUGAUUUUAUCAAUUAUCAUCCAUUAUUCUUUGCACGGCCUCAACAUAAGUUUCUUCCUGUACUUCCAUUUAUAACCAAACUCUGUCCAUAUAUGCGAUCUGUUAUGGUAUGAGAAAUUAUCCAUCGAGAUUUCUGAAGUUCAGCUUAGUUAUAGAUAGUUUCUUUUUAAUUCGACUCUUUGGUCACUCUCACCUAUGAUGUUUAUUGGAAUUCCGUUUGAACUCCUAGGCAUUGGUUUUGGGAACUUCCAUCCGCUUUUGUAAUUUUACAUUAUCCAUGCAGUUUAUUCAUAUCUAGAAUAUUUAUGUUUCCAUUGUAGUUUCUUUAUUCUGUUUCGUAAUUCGACCAAAAUUCCAGGUUAGCCAUGGCUAUUGGCAAAACUGGAAAAUUUUUAUUACUUCGUUUUUGGUUUUCGGCUUCAUGUAUAGAAGGCUCUAGUGGUUAUAAUGCACGAUCUUCUAAAUUCUUGGUUAUACUCGGGUUAUAGGGAUAUAGAAUUUUGUAGAGAUGCUUACGUUUGCAAUUUGAUUCUUUUCUCUUCUCCGCCCCAAGCAGUUCUGGAGUGUUCUUUAGUGCUUCAGAAGAUGAAAGUGGGACUCUGGGUGUAAUUGAGGAAAAAAUUGCAAGGGCAACUAUGAUUCCAAGGACGCAUGGAGAGGUAUUUUUACCACUUUGAUCAUCAAUAUUUCCACCCUGUUUUCUUAAGGUAGAAAUCUGUUGGUACAUCAUUCAUAAGAGUCUAAAGUUUCAAAAGAACUUGGUUCUAGAAUCCUGAGUAUGUUUGAUGUAAAUUUUGAUAGGGAGUGUCAUGGAUUUGAACUCUUUCACUACCACGGAGAAGAUGAACCCAUUAGCAAGUCAUUUCUAACUUGCUUAUUAAUUUAUUGCAUCCAUCUCUAUAGUAGCUGGUCAUUGGCCUUCUUCAAAUUUAAUGCUUAACAUGGGAUCUUGACCAUUAAUUUCUUAUAGUUGAUGGGAUUUAUAUAAAUCCACUAUGUAGUCAGAUUCUGUUUGUUAUUUUAAGCUGAGAUUAAAGUUUUCUCAAACUUCUCAUUUCUUGUUCAAACUUCUGACAGUUUGACAACUUAAAAGAGGAUCAGUGUUACCUCUUCACAUUUCUUGACUAAAUACCAAGGUACACAAUAGUAAGUAGUAACAGGUGACAUAAAACCUGAGAUAAUUAGUCAUUGUGUUCUAUCCAUUUGAUGGACCUGAUACUUUAUAUAUUUCUUUUAAUUGUUUGUAGAAAUCUGUUAUAGAAUAGUAUGCUUAAUUUCAUAGUUAAUUUAUUUACAGGUUACAUUUCCACUUGAUGUUUUAUGUUUUAAGGAUGUUUUCUUGCAUCUGUAAAAAGUAUAGAACUUCUUGUUUCCAAAUGUUUUAAAAUUGAUUGAGGAUUGUGUGUUUCAGGCAUAUAAUAUUUUGCGUUAUGAGAUUGGGCAGAAGUAUAAUUCUCAUUAUGAUGCGUUCAAGCCUUCUGAAUAUGGGCCACAGAAGAGCCAGAGGGUACAACGUAGAUAUAUUAGCUUUUCCUUUGCUUAUUGCUCGUAAACAUUCAACAUUCAAUUCUUUUCAUUCAUUUAUAAGAGCUCUGUUACAGAAAUAUUUUGAUCCCCUCCCAAAAAAGGGGGGAGAUAGAAUUUUGCACUACUUUCCCUGACAUUUUAGCAUUAAAAAAUUCAGGUGGCUUCUUUCUUGUUGUACUUGACUGAUGUUGAAGAAGGUGGAGAAACCAUGUUUCCAUUUGAGGUAAGAGUAGACCACCAUAGGACCGUAUGAACGAGGUGGCCUUUCUCUUGACAUUUUUUACAACCAAGAACAUUAGUCAAAUGGAGUAUUUACUGUGUUUGAUUGGCAGAAUGGCUUGAACAUGGAUGGAACCUAUAAUUUCCAAACAUGUAUUGGUUUGAAAGUGAAGCCACGUCAAGGUGAUGGACUUCUGUUUUAUUCGGUUUUCCCAAAUGGUACAAUUGAUCCGGUUAGUGUUCCUAUUCCUAUCCUCUUUUGCUUGAUAUAGUAGUUUCAAUUUGAAUGCUGUCUGGAUUAAUGAUGUGUAAUGUGUAAUGUGUAUUGUCGAACCAUGAGCUAACAAGGAGCAUCUAUGCUUUGUUUGAGCAUGAAGCUUCUCGAUUUAUGAUAGACUCUCUAUUAAACAUGUUUAUAAGAGGAGGCAGUGAGGCACUGAAAGAGGUAGUGAGGAAUAACAGGCUAUGAGAAGCUAGUUAGAACUAGAAAGGUGAGCCCAAGUGAAGGUAAUAAGAGGUGGGGUGUGAAUAGAAGGAAAUAUAUUGUCAGAGAACGAGUUGGAGAUUGGUUACUAAGUCCAUAAGUUUCGUACUUGAGAAAGUGGAAGCUUUCUAAAUCCAUCGACCCAUCACCUUUCUUGAUUAAUAAAUCUCACUCAUCAAUUUACGGGUAGGAGCCUAAAUCUGCCAUGAAAACCAGAAUUAGCACAUGUUUGUAACAAAGAACAGUAGACUAUAUCAAAACUACGAACUAAUAUCAUAUGCUAGUACAGUAGAAGUUGAAAUCAAGGAUUACCAAGAUCCCAGUCAUUAGAAGGAAAAAAACCAAAGUUGUAUGACACUAAAGAGCCUUUGGAGAGGACCAUCUUCUGUCCCAAUUUUCACGAUGGAUCUGUUCCCAAAUAAAGAUGUUAUAAGGUGAUGGUCGUUAGGAAGGAUAGGCGUUAGGCACAUAUUGUGAUCAGCAUGUAGAGGUGUUGCCGUGUUGGACACAGACAUGCUUCAGACACGUAUUUUAAGGGUCAAAUUUACUUUUAAUUUGUUGAGUUUUUAUGUUUUGGUGCUGCUGCGGCGUGUCACUCAUUCAAUGUUGAGACUCAUCUUGUUUAGAAAAUACAGAAAUUAAAAUAAAAAGAUAUAUAUUUUUUAACUACAACAUUUGAGUUCCUAGUAAUUAAUUAAUAUAUGAAAACUUUCUGAAACUAAACAUUUUUUUUAAAGAAAACUAAUGAACUUACAUCUAACCAAACCCAGCUACAUGGUGUUGGAAAAUGAGAGUUUAUUUGGUUGGGGACUUGUUCUAUCUGAUAAUCUGACCUCGCAACGUUGGGCUCAGGAGACUAUUUAUUAAUAUUGUAAGCGGUAGUGUUGAGUUCGAACAAAUAAAGAGACUCCAUUAAGAUUAAGAGAUGCAUAGGUUAUGUUAGUAUCUUAUGCCGAAUCUCAUGUUUAUUAUGCAAAGUCGGCCUUACAGCAUGCAUGUAUUUAAGGUAUAGCAAUUAUUUUGAAAAACAUAUUUUGUGGACCAUUCAUUGUUUAUGUUAUAUGCAUGUUUGUGCUUUCGUGUUUGCUUGUGUCAUUUAGAAGAAUUAUGAUGUAAAGUUUUAUAUAUCAAGAAUGGUUUACGAAUUAAAUGGGUACUGUUGUGUACAGCAUUUUGGUUGCUGAGAAUCUCAUUUAUUGCAUAAUUUUGUAGACAUCACUUCAUGGAAGCUGCCCUGUGAUCAAAGGGCAGAAAUGGGUGGCGACCAAGUGGAUCAGAGAUCAAAUGCAGGAGGACUUUUUAUACUAAAUGCAAUUCAUAAGCCGUAAAUUUCUUCCUCAUAAUUUUCUCUGUAUGAUAGAAUGAGUUCAAAUAUUAUACAAAUUUUGUUUCCCACGCUCUCCUCCUUACCUUACCGAUUACAUAUAGGGUAGUUAUUAAGGUUAGAAUGUUUUUCCAAUUCAGUUUAUUGUGUAAAAUAUUCAGAUUAUUUUCAAAUUAAUCAAUCAAAAUCAAAAUAUUAGUCUAUAAUAAUGAAACACGGGCGAUAGUAGUCUACGUUUUUAAUGCAUUAUGAUAUCUUUGUAAAUAUCAUCAAAAAUUAACUCUUUUUUAUGUAGAGAAGGGAGCAUGAGAUGAGAUCAUGUACUGUUGAAUCAUUGUCUUUACCUAUUAUCAAUCUGUGAGUGGUUUAAUUAAACAGUAUUGGCAUAAAGGUAAUUUUCAAUUUUUUGUAAAUACUAUCAAAAGUUUUGUUAUUUUAAAAUAGUUUUUUUUAUGACUUUGAAUUUAAAAAGAGGAUGAAUCAUUUAAGAAUCAAGUUUUUAAUAUAAAUAGAAAUUUUAGUUAGUUCUCUUAGAUGAUCUAGGGAGGUCGUGUCAUGUUAAAACUUGUCAUUUCUCCAAAGUAUUAAUUCCAUGUAUGUUAAAUAUUAACAAAUACUUCCAGCAAUUAAAUUGAAAAUUACCUUUAUGCCAAUACUGUUUAAUUAAACCACUCACGGAUUGAUAAUAGGUAAAGACAAUGAUUAGAUCAACAGUACAUGAUCUCAUCUCAUGCUCCCUUCUCUACAUAAAAAAGAGUUAAUUUUUAAAAAGACGAUAAAUUAUCGUGGCAAUUUUUAGUUAAAUACAGUCCUGCAAAAUAGAUAUAAAUGAAUUAUCAGCUCCAUCAAUUGGUUAAGGACCACUUAGGACUAAGAGAUCAUAUUGGAAUGAAAGAUUCAAAUCCUUCCACAUUAUUAAACAAAAUUAGUUAUAUACUAGAAUUUAAUUAAUAUAAAACUAUUUUUUUUAAUUCAUGUGUAAAAGGCACAAAACCUAACAUCAUCUUUAUUUAAUUAAAGCUUACAAAGGUAUAAAACACGUUCCAAAAUCUUGUGAAUAAGCAUCAAACCUUUUUCGUUGAUCUUGGAUCCUAGCGGAUGAAAAUGGGAUCCUAUAUUGAGACUCGAAGGUUAGGCAGCUACUUGCCUCCUUUUACAACAUGGUGAAUAGAGACCUCUCCAUGAUAUUUAACAUCAAAGGGAAUUGAAUUAGCCGAACUACCCAGAAAAAAACAGGGAGAUAGGAUGUGAUUGGGUUUGUUGAAUUUUAAUCAUAAUCAACAAAACAAAUUGAUAUCCCAUAACUCUGUCUAGCAAGCUUAAGCAUAAGAUUAGAAGUUAUACUUUUGAAUGGAUGCUUACCGACUUCAAACCAAAGCUAGAAAUGUUGAAAACAACUUUACUGCUUUUGCCAGGUCUGAUAUGGAUGCUUUCCCCACCGUUUCAAUGCAUACACACUGCCAGCCGAAGUGAACAAACCAAUGGCAGCAAAUGCUAAUAUCACUGAAUUUUCGAUGCGCCGGUAAUAGCCUCCCUACAGUAAUAAGACACAAAUAUCAUCUCUGCAGUUUCUUAUUUUACGGAAUGAAAGGUCAUAAUGGACCUUGAACCAAACAUAUCAAAUCUAAUAACAUGUAAUCUGGAUUUCUCUGGUAAUUUGUUUUUUUAUUUUUUCCAUUAGGGUUAGUAUAACAUGUACGCAUUUUGAAAUUGAUAAAAUAGACCCUCUUCAUCUUGACUUUCAAACACGUCAAAUAUCUCCACUAACUUCAUCUACGUUCUCCCUCGUUUUCUUAAAUUUUCACAACGGCCCUUCAUGGUAAAAAAAUUAGAUUUAGACACGGGAAUAUAUUCUUAGGAAACCUAAGGCCCAGUACUAAAUUCUCACAAAACACGCCUAAUCCUUUCCUUAGAAAGUGCAGAUCAUUUUCAAACAAAUAAGUUGCUUUUGAAUGAUGGAGGCAUGCAUCAGCUCUUGUCGACACCAAUGCAAGCUCCAUCACUCUUAAGAGUUCAAUUGAAGGUAAAAUUACAUACCUGCAACAGGAAAAACAAAAUUGCCGCGUUUGCAGGGGCCAGAGACAAGCUAAUCAUCCCUCCACGUAACUUAUUUGGCACAUACCUAUUAGAAAAGGCAAAGAAAAGAAAAGAAAAGAAAAACCAGUGUGCAAUCAAAAUCUGAUGUAUGCAUAUAAUUACAUUUCUGCAGAUGCUAUCAUAGAGUAAAACACUUACAUAGUCCUUAAUUUUGCAAGUGAAGGUAAAAUCAAACCUACACAGGCAUGAAAUAUGGAAAAUAGCAUCACUAAAACUCCAAGCUCCUGCAUAUUAUAGACAAAUAGAUCAAGCAGUGGAAAACCAAGCUCCUUAUUUGUCUAAAUUCUCAAAAACCUAAAAACCUAAAACCAUCGAGUCAUAUUUAACUUGCCUGAUAAUCAAAAGCAACAAUUGACAUCACAAGCCCUGAUAUUGCGAAGCAAUAUAGUAAACAAUCUUCAGUCCGAAGGGAUGAUGUUCCACUCAUAAGCCAUGGAAACAAUGAGCUUCCAAGGAUUCUUGAUCCCAGCAAACAUGGAUAUAUCAAACCUAGAUGCACUUCCCGCCCAUCAGCCUAGUUCAAAAAUAAUAAAGUAAACAAAAAAUAUGAUUAUGAAUGCCUGUUAACUAUAUCCAACAGCAGUACCAUUUUCAAAUUGACACUCUUAAAAAAUUACUAGAACAGUGGUUUGGUUAGUUUAAACGAAGAAUCUUAAAAUUAGAGGACAAGCAAAAGACUUAUCCAGUGGAAUACAAUUUCAAACAUUACAAAUCUUCUGACAAAUUAACUUUGAUACUUCAAUGAUCUUAUAAUUGCAAUCCUCAAUAAACAUUUAAAUAUGUACCACUAAUGUCGGAGCCCAAAGAAUCCAAAAGAAUGCAACAGAGAAGUGAACAGAAGCUUGGGCCCACGCCAAUAACCAUAUCCUUUUAUCUGCAAAUUAUGACAGUUUAUGAAUACCGAGAACAUCUACUACUUCUUUCACAAUUCACAAAUUAUUUGAUGGGAACUGGGAAAACCUUGACAAAAACCCUGGUUCAUACUUGAAAAAUAAACACCUAAACUUAUAAUGGACCAUGAAACCAUAUAAUGAGUUCAGUACAGACUACGUAAUGAGAUUAAAUAAUCUGAUACGUUAAAGAAUCUACCUAAACCUGGUGAAGACACUGAUAAGCACUUGGUGAUCAUUUUUACUCUUGAGGACACUAUUUGUUCCCUAGGUUUCUCAUUAGUUGAGCGCAGAAGAAAACAAGAAAAACUAAUUAGACGCUGCAUUCGGUUCUGAAAAAAAGUUGAAAAUGAUAUUCUAGAAGAUUAGUGAGUGUUUAAUAAACAGUGAAUAUAACUAGAGAAGACCCAACCUUGUAUAAGAAUUUAUCCAAAAUAUCCCUGAAAACAAUACAAAAGUAUUUGAUAGUUUCUGCUAGAUUGGGAUUCGGAAAAACUAUUAUAUUCAAAUACACAGAGACGUUAAUGUGUCAACAGAGCAACACUAAUACGUUAAAUGAAUAAUAAAGGGCAUAAAUAGACUAGCCAGAAAAUUCCAAUUUCUACCCACUAAAAACAAACCUAAAUCAAGAUGUAUAUAUAAGGAAGCUGCUUACCACUUAAAAUAUAUGCACUGAAAGAAGUUCUAUAGUCUUCCAGUUCUAUUCUUUGUGAUACUUCUGUCCACCCUUUGAUGAUAAAAGUUAAACAUAUCAAUGCCAAGAAGACAGCAGCAGUGGAAGAAGAAAACAUAUUCCUCUUAACAUCAUCACCAAUCAGACUGUUCACAAGCAUUUGGUUUCCAACCAAAGAGACAGACUCAAAUAUAGUCAUUAGCCAAAAAGUGUCACUUAACAUAUCUUGCCUUUGACCUUGCUGCAAGGAGAGAAAUUUAUGAGAGAAGUUUAAAUUAGUGCUUUCUUUCAAACAUGACACUCAUGAGGUACGUAGGAACUAAAAUACAAGUCAACAAGGCCAACAAUUCAACCAAUUAAAAAUAUGUACUGCAAGCUGGGGACAAAACUAGGUUAAAUCAAUCUAGUUAAAGAACAGGCUGUUUUGUUUAAUUUCAAGAAUCUUAAAUUUGAAGUAAAAAAUAUUACAACCAGAGUCCACUGAUUUCGUAUUCGAGGGCUGAGAACUCCUUUAAACAAGUAUGGCAUUGAUGAAAAUUUAUGUGGUCUACCUUAAAUAAAUCCAGGUGCAAAGCCAUAUUAACCAACCUUCUCGUGAUGAUGCACCAUCCAUGUUUCGAAACUGAAUGAAAAUAUUGAAGUAGCAAGAGAUAAGCCUACACUGGCGAUAAAGAGACUUGGAUGCACAGAAAUCCUCUUCCAUAUGGCAGUAACAAGGUGUAUAAUGCAAAACGUCAUACAGAUUUUCUUUUGACCUCUACAACAACAUUAGAAUCAUCUAUCAGAGGAACAGCAUCAUCUACUGCACUGUAUUUACAAAUAAAUUCUCAGUAGUGAAAUUUGAAAAGGAGCAUUGGAUUGGAGGAGAUUUUCUACUCUCUAGUGAGCAUAGGAAUCAAGGUGACAACCUAGAAAGUGAUGAUUACUGAAAAACAACGAUGAAAUUCUUUAGACUGCAGUAUCUUUUCCUUUAUAUUUGUUCCAAAAAAUAAAAAUAAAACUACAUUGUCCGAUCCAAAUGUUCAUAACGAGGAGCUUAUAAAUUAUGUGAAAUCACUAUUUCCUUCACCAAAAAAUGUCUGAGUUUCUAACAUCGGAAUACUGCGUAAACAAAAUUCUUCGACACAUCAGAGUAGCCGGUAUAAUUCUAUGCCUAACUAGAAAAAGAAUCCAGCAACAUAUUUUCAUUUCUUGUACAUGCUGUCGUAUAGACGAAGACGACAUUUCAGAAUAAGAAGGUAAUUGAGUAAGAAUCGAGUUAAAAUUACAUCAAAUCGGAUAGAAUGCCCAAAAAGGUACCGACGAAGAGAGAAGCUGCAUAUCCAACACAUAGAGACAACACUAUCUGCUCUCUGCUAACUCCACGAUACGUAAACUCAAACUCACCAUAUACUGACCAUAAGCCUUCCAUUACUGUAAAAGUAAAGAGGAGAGAUUCAAAUAACCGAUAGCCACAUCCACACCCCUCAAUUGAAGGAGAAGUUUACGUUUACUCAAUUCGGCUAGGCAAUUAACAAGAAAUGCAAUUAAAGAAGAGAAAAUAGUCUAGAAAAAGGUCAAAUUACAAAAGAGAACAUAUCGCCAGACAGAGGCUCGUUAGAUGAAUUCCACAAUUCCAAACGAUCAGUUUCUUGUCAGUUUUCUUUACAAAAAAAUGUCAAGAGUAAUGCAUCGAACUUACCUGAGGCAAGAGAAUAAAGUAAGAGAAACUUCCGCUGGAAAGUGGAAAAGGCGGAUGAAAAUCCAUGUUCGAACGGAGCAGGAGCUCUGGUGGAGCUAUUUUUGGAAGCAUAAGGUAGAAGAAAGAUGGAAAGAAAACAAGAGAGGAAGAUGAAGAUGA
rnacentral:lncRNA from 1 species